GUUCCCCAACAGUGGCAUCCGAGCCUAGGUUUUUAUGGUUUGAUGUUUUGCACGAGUAGAACACAAGUGAGUUGUGGGCGAUACAAGUCAUACUACCUACCAGCAUGUCAUACUUUGGUUCAGCGGUAUUGUGAGAUGAAGCGGCCCAGACCGACAUUACGCGUACGCUUACGCGAGACUGGUUUCACCGCUACGAGCACUCGUUGCUUAAAGGUGACUGGUGGGUGUCUGUCUCUCUCACUUUAGUUGAACCGAGUGUGGCUACGCCCGUCCUUGAGAAGGUUAAAACGGAGUCUAUUUGACGAAGUAUCGUUGUGGUUUUGAUGCGUAGGUGAGAUUGGUUCUUGCUUAAGCCCGUAGCAGCCACGUAAAAUUUGCAACAACAAAGUAGAGGACGUCUAACUUGUUUUUGCAGGGCAUGUUGUGAUGUGAUAUGGUCAAGACCUGAUGCUAUAUUUUAUUGUAUGAGAUGAUCAUGUUUUGUAACCGAAGUUAUCGGCAACUGGCAGGAGCCAUAUGGUUGUCGCUUUAUUGUAUGAAAUGCAAUCGCCCUGUAAUGCUUUACUUUAUCACUAAGCGGUAGCGAUAGUCGUAGAAGCAUAAGAUUGGCGAGACGACAACGAUGCUACGAUGGAGAUCAAGGUGUCGCGCCGGUGACGAUGGUGAUCACGACGGUGCUUCGGAGAUGGAGAUCACAAGCACAAGAUGAUGAUGGCCAUAUCAUAUCACUUAUAUUGAUUUGCAUGUGAUGUUUAUCUUUUAUGCAUCUUAUCUUGCUUUGAUUGACGGUAGCAUUAUAAGAUGAUCUCUCAAUAAAUUAUCAAGAAGUGUUCUCCCUGAGUAUGCACCAUUGCCAAAGUUCGUCGUGCCCAGACACCACGUGAUGAUCGGGUGUGAUAAGCUCUACGUCCAUCUACAACGGGUGCAAGCCAGUUUUGCACACGCAGAAUACUCAGGUUAUACUUGACGAGCCUAGCAUAUGCAGAUAUGGCCUCGAAACACGGAGACCGAAAGGUCGAGCGUGAAUCAUAUAGUAGAUAUGAUCAACAUAAGAUGUUCACCAUUGAAAACUACUCCAUUUCACGUGAUGAUCGGUUAUGGUUUAGUUGAUUUGGAUCACGUGAUCACUUAGAUGACUAGAGAGAUGUCUGUCUAAGUGGGAGUUCUUAAGUAAUAUGAUUAAUUGAACUUAAAUUUAUCAUGAACUUAGUCCUGGUAGUAUUUUGCAAAUUAUGUUGUAAGAUCAAUAGCUCGCGUUGUUGCUUUCAUAUGUUUAUUUUGAUAUGUUCCUAGAGAAAACUGUGUUGAAAAAUGUUAGUAGCAAUGAUGCGGAUUUGAUCCGUGAUCUGAGGUUUAUCCUCACUGCUGCGCAGAAGAAUUAUGUCCUUGAUGCACCGCUAGGUGACAGACCUAUUGCAGGAGCAGAUGCAGACGUUAUGAACGUUUGGCUAGCUCAAUAUGAUGACUACUUGAUAGUUUAAGUGCACCAUGCUUAACGGCUUAGAAUCGGGACUUCAAAGACGUUUUGAACGUCAUGGACCAUAUGAGAUGUUCCAGGAGUUGAAGUUAAUAUUUCAAGCAAAUACCCGAGUUGAGAGAUAUGAAGUCUCCAACAAGUUCUAUAGCUAAAAGAUGGAGGAGAAUCGCUCAACUAGUGAGCAUGUGCUCAGAUUGUCUGGGUACUACAAUCGCUUGAAUCAAGUGGGAGUUAAUCUUCCAGAUAAGAUAGUGAUUGACAGAAUUCUCUAGUCACCAUCACCAAGUUAGUAGAACUUCGUGAUGAACUAUAGUAUGCAAGGGAUGACGAAAAUGAUUCCCGAGCUCUUCGUGAUGUUGAAAUCGACGAAAGUAGAAAUCAAGAAAGAGCAUCAAGUGUUGAUGGUUGACAAGAUCACUAGUUUCAAGAAAAGGGCAAAGGGAAAGAAAGGGGAACUUCAAGUAGAUUGACAAGCAAGUUGUCACUCCCACGAAGAAGCCCAAAGCUGAACCAAAGCCUGAAACUAAGUGCUUACACUGCAAAGGGACAGGUUACUGGAAGCGGAACUAGCCUGAAUAUUUGGUGGAUAAGAAGGAUGGCAAAGUAAACAAAGUAUAUUUGAUAUACAUGUUAUUGAUGUGUACUUUACUAGUGUUUAUAGCAACCCCUCGGUAUUUGGUACUGGUUCAGUUGCUAAGAGUAGUAACUCGAAACAGGAGUUGCAGAAUAAACAGAAACUAGUUAAGGGUGAAGUGAAGAUGUGUGUUGAAAGUAGUUUCAAGAUUGAUAUGAUCAUCAUCGCACACUCCCUAUACUUUCGGGAUUAGUGUUGAACCUAAAUAAAUGUUAUUUGGUGUUUGCGUUGAGCAUGAAUAUGAUUUGAUCAUGUUUAUUGCAAUACGGUUAUUCAUUUAAGUAAGAGAAUAAACUGUUAUUCUGUUUACAUGAAUAAAACCUUAUAUGGUUACACACCCAAUGAAAAUGGUUCAUUGGAUCUCGAUCGUAGUGAUACACAUAUUCAUAAUAUUGAAACCAAAAGAUGCAAAGUUAAUAAUGAUAGUGCAACUUAUUUGUGGCACUACCGUUUAGGUCAUAUUGGUGUAAAGCGCAUGAAGAAACUCCAUGCUGAUGGGAUUUUGGAAUCACUUGAUUAUGAAUCACUUGAUGCUUGCGAACCGUGCCUUUUGGGCAAGAUGACUAAAACUCCGUUCUCCGGAACAAUGGAACAAGCUACUGACUUAUUGGAAAUAAUACAUACCGAUGUAUGCGAUCCAAUGAGUGUUGAUGCUCGUGGCAAGUAUCGUUAUUUUCUGACCUUCACAAGAUGAUUUGAGCAGAUAUGGGUAUAUCUACUUGAUGAAACAUAAGUCUGAAAUAGUUGAAAUGUUCAAAGAAUUUCAGAGUGAAGUGGAAAAUCAUCGUAACAAGAAAAUAAAGUUUCUGCGAUCUGAUCGUGGAGAUGAAUAUUUGAGUUACGAGUUUGGUCUUCAAUCAAAACAAUGUGGAAUAGUUUCACAGCUCACGCCACCUGGAACACCGCAAUGUUAUGGUGUGUUCAAACAUCAUAACCGCACUUUAUUGGAUAUAGUGCAAUCUAUGAUGUUUCUUACUGAUUUACCAAUAUCGUUUUGGGAUCAUGCAUUAGAGACAGCUGCAUUCACGUUAAAUUGGGCACCAUCUAAAUCCGUUGAGACGACACUAUAUGAACUGUGGUUUAGCAAGAAACCCAAGUUGUCGUUUCUUAAAGUAUGGAGUUGCGAUGCUUAUGUGAAAAGUUUCAUCCUGAUAAGCUCAAACCCAAAUCGGAGAAGUGCGUCUUCAUAGAAUACCCAAAGGAAAUUGUUGGGUACACCUUCUAUCACAGAUCCGAAGGCAAGAUAUUCGUUGCUUAAGAUGGAUCCUUUCUAGAGAAGGAGUUUCUCUCGAAAGAAGUGAGUGGGAGGAAAGUAGAACUUGAUGAGGUAACUGUACCUGUUCCCUUAUUGGAAAGUAGUUCAUCACAGAAAUCUGUUCUUGUGAUUACUAUACCAAUUAGUGAGGAAGUUAAUGAUGAUGAUCAUGUAACUUCAGAUCAAGUUACUACCGAACCUCGUAGGUAAAACAGAGUGAGAUUCGCACCAGAGUGGUACGGUAAUCCUGUUCUGGAGGUCGUGUUACUUGACCAUGACAAACCUACGAACUAUGAGGAAGCGAUGAUGAGCCCAGAUUCCGCAAAAUGGUUUGAGGCCAUGAAAUCUGAGAUAUGAUCCAUGUAUGAGAACAAAGUAUGGACUUUGAUGGAUUUGCCCGAUGAUCGGCAAACCAUAGAAAAUAAAUGGAUCUUCAAGAGGAAGACGGACGUUGAUAGUAGUGUUACUAUCUACAAAGCUCGACUUGUUGCAAAAAGGUUUUCGACAAAGUUCAAAAUGUUGACUACAAUGAGAUUUUCUCAACUGUAGCGAUGCUUAAGUCUGUCCGAAUCAUGUUAGCAAUUGCCACAAUUUAUGAAAUUUGGCAAAUGGAUGUAAAAACUGCAUUCGUGAAUGGUUUUCUGGAGGAAGAGUUGUAUAUGAUGCAACCAGAAGUUUUUUUUCGAUCCAAAGGGAGCUAACAAAGUGUGCAAGCUCCAGCGAUCCAUCUAUGGACUGGUGCAAGCAUCUCGGAGUUGGAAUAUACGCUUUGAUGAGUUGAUCAAAGCAUAUAGUUUUGUACAGACUUAUGGUGAAGCCUGUAUUUACUAGAAAGUGAGUGGGAGCACUACAGCAUUUCUGAUAAGUAUAUGUGAAUGACAUAUUAUAGAUCAGAAAUAAUGUAGAAUUAUUCUGCAAAGCAUAAAGGAGUGUUUGAAAGAAGUUUUUCAAAGAAAGACCUCGGUGAAGCUGCUUACAUAUUGAGCAUCAUGAUCUAUAGAGAUAGAUCAAGAUGCUUGAUAAGUUUUUUCAAUGAGUACAUACCUUGACAAGAUUUUGAAGUAGUUCAAAAUGGAACAGUCAAAGAAAGAGUUCUUGCCUGUGUUACAAGGUGUGAAAUUGAGUAAGACUCAAAACCCGACCACGGCAGAAGAUAGAAAAAGAAAGAAAGUCAUUCCCUAUGCCUUGGCCAUAGGUUCUAUAAAGUAUGCCAUGCUGUGUACCAGAUCUAUUGUAUACCCUGCACUGAGUUUGGCAAGGGAGUACAAUAGUGAUCUAGGAGUAGAUCACUGGACAGCGGUCAAAAUUAUCCUUAGUGGAAUAAGGAUAUGUUUCUCGAUUAUGGAAGUGACAAAAGGUUCGUCAUAAAGGGUUACGUCGAUGCAAGUUUUGACACUGAUCUGGAUGACUCUAAGUCUCGAUCUAGAUACAUAUUGAAAGUGGGAGCAAUUAGCUAGAGUAGCUUCGUGCAGAGCAUUGUAGACAUAGAAAAAUUGCAAAAUACAUAACGGAUCUGAAUGUGAAAGACCCGUUGACUAAGACUCUCUCACAAGCAAAACAUGAUCACACUUUAGUACUCUUUGGGUAUUAAUCACAUAGCAAUGUGAACUAGAUUACUGAAUCUAGUAAACCCUUUGGGUGUUGGUCACAUGGCGAUGUGAACUAUGGGUGUUAAUCACAUGAUGAUGUGAACUGUCGAUGUUAAUCACAUGGUGAUGUGAUCUAGAUUAUUGACUCUAGUGCAAGUGGGAGACUGAAGGAAAUAUGCCCUAGAGGCAAUAAUAAAGUUAUUAUUUAUUUCCUUAUAUCAUGAUAAAUGUUUAUUAUUCAUGCUAGAAUUGUAUUAACCGGAAACAUAAUACAUGUGUGAAUAUAUAGACAAACAGAGUGUCACUAGUAUGCCUCUACUUGACUAGCUUGUUAAUCAAAGAUGGUUAUGUUUCCUAACCAUGAACAAAGAGUUGUUAUUUGAUUAACAAGGUCACAUCAUUAGUUGAAUGAUCUGAUUGACAUGACCCAUUCCAUUAGCUUAGCACACGAUCGUUUAGUAUGUUGCUACUGCUUUUAUACAUGACUUAUAUAUGUUCCUAUAACUAUGAGAUUAUGCAACUCCCGUUUACCGGAGGAACACUUUGGGUACUACCAAACGUCACAACGUAACUGGGUGAUUAUAAAGGAGUACUACAGGUGUCUCCAAAGGCAGAUGUCGGGUUGGCGUAUUUCGAGAUUAGGAUUUGUCACUCCAAUUGUCAGAGAGGUAUCUCUGGGCCCUCUCGGUAAUGCACAUCACUUAAGCCUUGCAAGCAUUGCAACUAAUGAGUUAGUUGUGAGAUGAUGUAUUACAGAACGAGUAAAGAGACUUGCCGGUAACGAGAUUGAACUAGGUAUUGGAUACUGUUGGGGAACGUAGUAAUUUCAAAAAAUUUCCUACGCACACACAAGAUCAUGGUGAUGUAUAGCAACGAGAGGGGAGAGUGUUGUCUACAUACCCUUGUAGACCCGAAGCGGAAGCGAUCACAACGUAGAGGAAGUAGUCGUACGUUCUCCUCGCGAUCCGACCGAUCCCGGCGCCGUUACUCCGGCGCCCCCGAGUUCUUGACACACGUACAGCUCGAUGACGUCCCUCGUACUCCGAUCCAGCCGAGUGUCGAGGGAGAGUUUCGUCAGCACGACGGCGUGGUGACGAUCUUGAUGUUUCACCGGCGCAGGGCUUCGCCUAAGCUUCGCGACGGUAUGACCGAGGUGGAAUAUGGUGGAGGGGGGCACCGCACACGGCUAAGGAACGAUCCGUAGAUCAAACUUGUGUCCUCUAGGGUGCCCCCCUGCCCCCGUAUAUAAAGGAGGGAGGGGGGAGGUGCGGCCGGCCCAAGGGGGGCGCGCCGGAGGAGUCCUACUCCCACCGGGAGUAGGACUCCCCCCCUUUCCUAGUUGGAAUAGGAUUGGGGGAGGGGGAAAGAGGAAAUGGGGGCGCCGCCCCCCCUCCUUGUCCUAUUCGGACUGGGGGGGGAGGGGGCGCGCGGCCACCCCUGGCCGGCCCCUCCUCUUCUCCCUCGAGGCCCACCGAGGCCCAUUUACCCCCCGGGGGGUUCCGGUAACCUCCCGGUACUCCGGUAAAUUCCUGUUUUCACCCGGAACCAUUCCGAACUCCAAACAUAGGCUUCCAAUAUAUCAAUCUUUAUGUCUCGACCAUUUCGAGACUCCUCGUCAUGUCCGUGAUCACAUCCGGGACUCCGAACUUCUUCGGUACAUCAAAAUACAUAAACUCAUAAUAACUGUCAUCGAAACCUUAAGCGUGCGGACCCUACGGUUCGAGAACAAUGUAGACAUGACCUAGAACUAUUCUCGGUCAAUAACCAACAGCGGGACCUGGAUGCCCAUAUUGGUUCCUACAUAUUCUACGAAGAUCUUUAUUGGUCAGACCGCAUAACAACAUACGUUGUUCCCUUUGUCAUCGGUAUGUUACUUGCCCGAGAUUCGAUCGUCGGUAUCCAAUACCUAGUUCAAUCUCGUUACCGACAAGUCUCUUUACUCGUUCCGUAAUACAUCAUCUCACAGCUAACUUAUUAGUUGUAAUGCUUGCAAGGCUUCAGUGAUGUGUAUUACCGAGAGGGCCCAGAGAUACCUCUCCGACAAUCGGAGUGACAAAACCUAAUCUCGAAAUACGCCAACCCAACAUCUGCCUUUGGAGACACCUGUAGUACUCCUUUAUAAUCACCCAGUUACGUUGUGACGUUUGGUAGCACCCAAAGUGUUCCUCCGGUAAACGGGAGUUGCAUAAUCUCAUAGUUACAGGAACAUGUAUAUGUCAUGGAUAAAAAGCAGUAGCAACAUACUAAACGAUCGUGUGCUAAGCUAAUGGAAUGGGUCAUGUCAAUCAGAUCAUUCUACUAAUGAUGUGACCUUGUUAAUCAAAUAACAACUCCUUGUUCAUGGUCAGGAAACAUAACCAUCUUUGAUUAACAAGCUAGUCUAGUAGAGGCAUACUAGUGACAUGUUGUUUUGUCUAUGCAUUCACACAUGUAUCAUGUUUCCGGUUAAUACAAUUCUAGCAUGAAUGAUAAACAUUUAUCAUGAAAUAAGGAAAUAAAUAAUAACUUUAUUAUUGCCUCUAGGGCAUAUUUCCUUCAGUCUCCCACUUGCACUAGAGUCAAUAAUCUAGAUUACAUAGUAAUGAUUCUAACACCCAUGGAGUCUUGGUGCUGAUCAUGUUUUGCUCGUGGAAGAGGCUUAGUCAACGGGUCUGCAACAUUCAGAUCCGUAUGUAUCUUGCAAAUCUCUAUGUCUCCCACCUGGACUAAGUCCCGGAUGGAAUUGAAGCGUCUCUUGAUGUGCUUGGUCCUCUUGUGAAAUCUGGAUUCCUUUGCUAAGGCAAUUGCUCCAGUAUUGUCACAGAAGAUUUUCAUUGGACCCGAUGCACUAGGUAUGACACCUAGAUCGGAUAUGAACUCCUUCAUCCAGACUCCUUCAUUAGCUGCUUCCGAAGCUGCUAUGUACUCCGCUUCACAUGUAGAUCCCGCUACGACGCUUUGUUUAGAACUGCACCAACUGACAGCUCCUCCGUUUAGUGUAAAUACGUAUCCGGUCUGCGAUUUAGAAUCGUCCGGAUCAGUGUCAAAGCUUGCAUCAACGUAACCGUUUACGAUGAGCUCUUUGUCACCUCCAUAUAUGAGAAACAUAUCCUUAGUCCUUUUCAGGUAUUUCAGGAUGUUCUUGACCGCUGUCCAGUGAUCCACUCCUGGAUUACUUUGGUACCUCCCUGCUAGGCUUAUAGCAAGGCACACAUCAGGUCUGGUACACAGCAUUGCAUACAUGAUAGAGCCUAUGGCUGAAGCAUAGGGAACAUCUUUCAUUUUCUCUCUAUCUUCUGCAGUGGUCGGGCAUUGAGUCUUACUCAACUUCACACCUUGUAACACAGGCAAGAACCCUUUCUUUGCUUGAUCCAUUUUGAACUUCUUCAAAAUUUUGUCAAGGUAUGUGCUUUGUGAAAGUCCAAUUAAGCGUCUUGAUCUAUCUCUAUAGAUCUUAAUGCCCAAUAUGUAGGCAGCUUCACCGAGGUCUUUCAUUGAAAAACUCUUAUUCAAGUAUCCCUUUAUGCUAUCCAGAAAUUCUAUAUCAUUUCCGAUCAGCAAUAUGUCAUCUACAUAUAAUAUCAGAAAUGCUACAGAGCUCCCACUCACUUUCUUGUAAAUACAGGCUUCUCCAAAAGUCUGUACAAACCCAAAUGCUUUGAUCACACUAUCAAAGCGUUUAUUCCAACUCCGAGAUGCUUGCACCAGUCCAUAGAUGGAUCGCUGGAGCUUGCACACUUUGUUAGCUCCCUUUGGAUCGAUAAAACCUUCUGGUUGCAUCAUAUACAACUCUUCUUCCAGAAAUCCAUUCAGGAAUGCAGUCUUUACAUCCAUUUGCCAAAUUUCAUAAUCAUAAAAUGCGGCAAUUGCUAACAUGAUUCGGACAGACUUAAGCAUCGCUACGGGUGAGAAGGUCUCAUCGUAGUCAAUCCCUUGAACUUGUCGAAAACCCUUUGCGACAAGUCGAGCUUUGUAGACAGUAACAUUACCGUCAGCGUCAGUCUUCUUCUUGAAGAUCCAUUUGUUUUCUAUUGCUUGCCUACCCUCGGGCAAGUCAACCAAAGUCCAUACUUUGUUUUCAUACAUGGAUCCCAUCUCAGAUUUCAUGGCCUCAAGCCAUUUUGCGGAAUCUGGGCUCACCAUCGCUUCUUCAUAGUUCGUAGGUUCAUCAUGAUCUAGUAGCAUGAUUUCCAGAACAGGAUUGCCGUACCACUCUGGUGCGGAUCUUACUCUGGUUGAUCUACGAGGUUCUGUAGUAACUUGAUCUGAAGUUUCAUGAUCAACAUCAUCAACUUCCUCACUACUUGGUGUAGGUGUCUCAGAAACCGGUUUCUGCGACGAACUACUUUCAAGUAAGGGAGAAGGUACUAUUACCUCAUCAAGUUCCACUUUCCUCCCACUCACUUCUUUCGAGAGAAACUCCUUCUCUAGAAAGGAUGCAUUCUUAGCAACGAAUGUCUUGCCUUCGGAUCUGUGAUAGAAGGUGUACCCAACUGUCUCCUUUGGGUAUCCUAUGAAGACACAUUUCUCCGAUUUGGGUUCGAGCUUAUCAGGUUGAAGCUUUUUCACAUAAGCAUCGCAUCCCCAAACUUUAAGAAACGACAACUUUGGUUUCUUGCUAAACCACAGUUCAUAAGGUGUCGUCUCAACGGAUUUCGACGGUGUUCUAUUCAGUGUGAAUGCGGCCGUCUCUAGAGCAUAACCCCAAAACGAUAGCGGUAAAUCUGUAAGAGACAUCAUAGAUCGCACCAUAUCUAGUAAAGUGCGAUUACGACGUUCGGACACACCAUUACGCUGUGGUGUUCCGGGUGGCGUGAGUUGCGAAACUAUUCCGCAUUGUUUCAAAUGUAGACCAAACUCGUAACUCAAAUAUUCACCUCCACGAUCAGAUCGUAGAAAUUUAAUUUUCUUGUUACGAUGAUUUUCAACUUCACUCUGAAAUUCUUUGAACUUUUCAAAUGUUUCAGACUUAUGUUUCAUUAAGUAGAUAUACCCAUAUCUGCUUAAGUCAUCUGUGAAGGUGAGAAAAUAACGAUAUCCGCCAUGAGCCUCAACAUUCAUCGGACCACAUACAUCUGUAUGUAUGAUUUCCAACAAAUCUGUUGCUCUCUCCAUAGUACCGGAGAACGGGGUUCUAGUCAUCUUGCCCAUGAGGCACGGUUCGCAAGUGCCAAGUGAUUCAUAAUCAAGUGACUCCAAAAGUCCAUCAGUAUGGAGUUUCUUCAUGCGUUUUACACCGAUAUGACCUAAACGGCAGUGCCACAAAUAAGUUGCACUAUCAUUAUCAACUCUGCAUCUUUUGGUUUCAACAUUAUGAAUAUGUGUAUCACUACUAUCGAGAUUCAUCAAAAAUAGACCACUCCUCAAGGGUGCAUGACCAUAAAAGAUAUUACUCAUAUAAAUAGAACAACCAUUAUUCUCUGAUUUAAAUGAAUAACCGUCUCGCAUCAAACAAGAUCCAGAUAUAAUGUUCAUGCUCAACGCAGGCACCAAAUAACAAUUAUUUAGGUCUAAAACUAAUCCCGAAGGUAGAUGUAGAGGUAGCGUGCCGACCGCGAUCACAUCGACUUUGGAACCAUUUCCCACGCGCAUCGUCACCUCGUCCUUUGCCAGUGUUCGCUUAAUCCGUAGUCCCUGUUUCGAGUUGCAAAUAUUAGCAACAGAACCAGUAUCAAAUACCCAGGUGCUACUGCGAGCUCUAGUAAGGUACACAUCAAUAACAUGUAUAUCACAUAUACCUUUGUUCACCUUGCCAUCCUUCUUAUCCGCCAAAUACUUGGGGCAGUUCCGCUUCCAGUGACCAGUCUACUUGCAGUAGAAGCACUCAGUUUCAGGCUUAGGUCCAGACUUGGGUUUCUUCUCCUGAGCAGCAACUUGCUUGCUGUUCUUCUUGAAGUUCCCCUUCUUCUUCCCUUUGCCUUUCUUCUUGAAACUAGUGGUCUUAUUGACCAUCAACACUUGAUGCUCCUUCUUGAUUUCUACCUCCGCAGCCUUUAGCAUUGCGAAGAGCUCAGGUAUAGUCUUUACUAACCCUUGCAUAUUAUAGUUCAUCACGAAGCCUUUGUAGCUUGGUGGCAGUGAUUGAAGAAUUCUGUCAAUGACACAAUCAUCCGGAAUAUUAACUCCCAAUUGCGUCAAGUGAUUGUAGUACCCAGACAUUCUGAGUAUGUGCUCACUAACAGAACUAUUCUCCUCCAUCUUGCAGCUAUAGAACUUAUUGGAGACUUCAUAUCUCUCAAUCCGGGCAUUCUGUUGGAAUAUCAACUUCAACUCCUGGAACAUCUCAUAUGCUCCAUGACGUUCAAAACGUCGUUGAAGUCCCGGUUCUAAGCCGUAAAGCAUGGCACACUGAACUAUAGAGUAGUCAUCAGCUUUGCUCUGCCAGACGUUCUUAACGUCGUCAGUUGCAUCAGCAACAGGCCUGGCACCCAGCGGUGCAUCCAGGACGUAACUCUUCUGUGCAGCAAUGAGGAUAAUCCUCAGGUUACGGACCCAGUCCGUGUAAUUGCUACCAUCAUCUUUCAACUUUGCUUUCUCAAGGAACGCAUUAAAAUUCAACGGAACAACAACACGAGCCAUCUAUCUACAAUCAAACAUAAACAAGCAAGAUACUAUCAGGUACUAAGUUCAUGAUAAAUUUAAGUUCAAUUAAUCAUAUUACUUAAGAACUCCCACUUAGAAAGACAUCUCUCUAGUCAUCCAAGUGAUCACGUGAUCCAAAUCAACUAAACCAUAACCGAUCAUCACGUGAAAUGGAGUAGUUUUCAAUGGUGAACAUCUUAUGUUGAUCAUAUCUACUAUAUGAUUCACGCUCGACCUUUCGGUCUCCGUGUUCCGAGGCCAUAUCUGCAUAUGCUAGGCUCGUCAAGUAUAACCCGAGUAUUCUGCGUGUGCAAAACUGGCUUGCACCCGUUGUAGAUGGACGUAGAGCUUAUCACACCCGAUCAUCACGUGGUGUCUGGGCACGACGAACUUUGGCAACGGUGCAUACUCGGGGAGAACACUUCUUGAUAAUUUAGUGAGAGAUCAUCUUAUAAUGCUACCGUCAAUCAAAGCAAGAUAAGAUGCAUAAAAGGAUAAACAUCACAUGCAAAUCAAUAUAUAAGUGAUAUGAUAUGGUCAUCAUCAUCUUGUGCUUCAUGAUCUCCAUCUUGCAGCACCACCAUGAUCACCAUCGUCACCGGCGCGACACCUUGAUCUCCAUCGUAGCAUCGUUGUCGUCUCGCCAAACUUAUGCUUCUACGACUAUCGCUACCGCUUAGUGAUAAAGUAAAGCAUUACAGGGCGAUUGCAUUGCAUACAAUAAAGCGACAACCAUAUGGCUCCUGCCAGUUGCCGAUAACUUCGGUUACAAAACAUGAUCAUCUCAUACAAUAAAAUAUAUCAUCACGUCUUGACCAUAUCACAUCACAACAUGCCCUGCAAAAACAAGUUAGACGUCCUCUACUUUGUUGUUGCAAAUUUUACGUGGCUGCUACGGGCUUAAGCAAGAUCCAGUCUCACCUACGCAUCAAAACCACAACGAUACUUCGUCAAAUAGACUCCGUUUUAACCUUCUCAAGGACCGGGCGUAGCCACACUCGGUUCAACUAAAGUGAGAGAGACAGGCACCCACCAGUCACCUUUAAGCAACGAGUGCUCGUAGCGGUGAAACCAGUCUCGCGUAAGCGUACGCGUAAUGUCGGUCUGGGCCGCUUCAUCUCACAAUACCGCUGAACCAAAGUAUGACAUGCUGGUAGGUAGUAUGACUUGUAUCGCCCACAACUCACUUGUGUUCUACUCGUGCAAAACAUCAAACCAUAGAAAAAACCUAGGCUCGGAUGCCACUGUUGGGGAACGUAGUAAUUUCAAAAAAUUUCCUACGCACACACAAGAUCAUGGUGAUGUAUAGCAACGAGAGGGGAGAGUGUUGUCUACAUACCCUUGUAGACCCGAAGCGGAAGCGAUCACAACGUAGAGGAAGUAGUCGUACGUUCUCCUCGCGAUCCGACCGAUCCCGGCGCCGUUACUCCGGCGCCCCCGAGUUCUUGACACACGUACAGCUCGAUGACGUCCCUCGUACUCCGAUCCAGCCGAGUGUCGAGGGAGAGUUUCGUCAGCACGACGGCGUGGUGACGAUCUUGAUGUUUCACCGGCGCAGGGCUUCGCCUAAGCUUCGCGACGGUAUGACCGAGGUGGAAUAUGGUGGAGGGGGGCACCGCACACGGCUAAGGAACGAUCCGUAGAUCAAACUUGUGUCCUCUAGGGUGCCCCCCUGCCCCCAUAUAUAAAGGAGGGAGGGGGGAGGUGCGGCCGGCCCAAGGGGGGCGCGCCGGAGGAGUCCUACUCCCACCGGGAGUAGGACUCCCCCCCUUUCCUAGUUGGAAUAGGAUUGGGGGAGGGGGAAAGAGGAAAGGGGGGCGCCGCCCCCCCUCCUUGUCCUAUUCGGACUGGGGGGGAGGGGGCGCGCGGCCACCCCUGGCCGGCCCCUCCUCUUCUCCCUCGAGGCCCACCGAGGCCCAUUUACCCCCCGGGGGGUUCCGGUAACCUCCCGGUACUCCGGUAAAUUCCUGUUUUCACCCGGAACCAUUCCGAACUCCAAACAUAGGCUUCCAAUAUAUCAAUCUUUAUGUCUCGACCAUUUCGAGACUCCUCGUCAUGUCCGUGAUCACAUCCGGGACUCCGAACUUCUUCGGUACAUCAAAAUACAUAAACUCAUAAUAACUGUCAUCGAAACCUUAAGCGUGCGGACCCUACGGUUCGAGAACAAUGUAGACAUGACCUAGAACUAUUUUCGGUCAAUAACCAACAGCGGGACCUGGAUGCCCAUAUUGGUUCCUACAUAUUCUACGAAGAUCUUUAUCGGUCAGACCGCAUAACAACAUACGUUGUUCCCUUUGUCAUCGGUAUGUUACUUGCCCGAGAUUCGAUCGUCGGUAUCCAAUACCUAGUUCAAUCUCGUUACCGGCAAGUCUCUUUACUCGUUCCGUAAUACAUCAUCUCACAGCUAACUUAUUAGUUGUAAUGCUUGCAAGGCUUCAGUGAUGUGUAUUACCGAGAGGGCCCAGAGAUACCUCUCCGACAAUCGGAGUGACAAAACCUAAUCUCGAAAUACGCCAACCCAACAUCUGCCUUUGGAGACACCUGUAGUACUCCUUUAUAAUCACCCAGUUACGUUGUGACGUUUGGUAGCACCCAAAGUGUUCCUCCGGUAAACGGGAGUUGCAUAAUCUCAUAGUUACAGGAACAUGUAUAUGUCAUGGAUAAAAAGCAGUAGCAACAUACUAAACGAUCGUGUGCUAAGCUAAUGGAAUGGGUCAUGUCAAUCAGAUCAUUCUACUAAUGAUGUGACCUUGUUAAUCAAAUAACAACUCCUUGUUCAUGGUCAGGAAACAUAACCAUCUUUGAUUAACAAGCUAGUCUAGUAGAGGCAUACUAGUGACAUGUUGUUUUGUCUAUGCAUUCACACAUGUAUCAUGUUUCCGGUUAAUACAAUUCUAGCAUGAAUGAUAAACAUUUAUCAUGAAAUAAGGAAAUAAAUAAUAACUUUAUUAUUGCCUCUAGGGCAUAUUUCCUUCAGAUACCGACGAUCGAAUCUCGGCCAAGUAACAUACCGAUGACAAAGGGAACAACGUAUGUUGUUAUGCGGUCUGACCGAUAAAGAUCUUCGUAGAAUAUGUAGGAGCCAAUAUGGGCAUCCAGGUCCCGCUAUUGGUUAUUAACCGGAGACGUGUCUCGGUCAUGUCUACAUUGUUCUCGAACCGUAGGGUCCGCACGCUUAAGGUUUCGAUGACAGGUAUAUUAUGAGUUUAUGAGUUUUGAUGUACCGAAGGAGUUCGGAGUCCCGGAUGAGAUCGGGGACAUGACGAGGAGUCUCGAAAUGGUCGAGACGUAAAGAUCGAUAUAUUGGACGACUAUAUUCGGAGUUCGGAAAGGUUCCGAGUGAUUCGGGUAUUUUUCGGAGUACCGGAGAGUUACGGGAAUUCGUAUUGGGCCUUAAUGGGCCAUACGGGAAAGGAGAAAAAGGGCCAAAAGGGUGGCCGCCGCCCUCCCCUUGGUCUAGUCCGAAUUGGACUAGGGAGGGGGGCGCACCCUUCCUUCCUUCUCCUUCUCUUUUCCCUUUCCUUCUCUCCUACUCCUAAUACAUGGAAGGACUACUAGUUGGACUAGGAAAGGGGGAAUCCUACUCCCGGUGGGAGUAGGACUCCCCAUGGCGCACCAUAGAGAGGGCCGGCCUCCUCCUCCCUCCCUCCUUUAUAUACGGGGGCAGGGGGCACCCCAUGAACACACAAGUUGAUCUACGGAUCGUUCCUUAGCCGUGUGCGGUGCCCCCCUCCACCAUAUUCCACCUCGGUCAUAUCGUCGCAAAGCUUAGGCGAAGCCCUGCGCCGGUAGAACAUCAAGAUCGUCACCACGCCGUCGUGCUGACGAAACUCUCCCUCCCCGAAGCUCUACUGGAUUGGAGCCCGAGGAGCGUCAUCGAGCUGUACGUGUGUCAAGAACUCGGGGGCGCCGGAGUAACGGCGCCGGGAUCGGUCGGAUCGCGAGGAGAACGUACGACUACUUCCUCUACGUUGUGAUCGCUUCCGCUUCGGUCUACGAGGGUACGUAGACAGCACUCUCCCCUCUCGUUGCUAUGCAUCACCAUGAUCUUGCGUGUGCGUAGGAAAUUUUUUGAAAUUACUACGUUCCCCAACACUACAAGUCAAUGCGUUCAACUGAACGUUACAUUCUUUGAGCACUGCGACUCUAUCAUACGAGCGCCACGCAUAACUUCCCCGAAAUAAUGCUCGGCAGGAAGCCGGUUUCCAUCCGAACCCUGGGCAGCAACAGCGGUGGCAUCCAUCUCCGGACACCGCGCCUUUACACGGGCCAGAGCCAUCCGCGCGCCCUCGAUGUAGGCCGACCGUUUCAUCUCCUUGAUAUGCGGCACCGCCCCAAGGAACUGCUGCAGUAGGCCGAAGUAGCUCGUCGCCUUGGACCUCUCUGGCCAUAUAUGGGCCACGAUGUCAGUCAUAGCCAGCCUGGACAGUCUAUUCAGUUCGGCCCAUUCGGCCAACCUGUCCGUCAGCGGAAGAGGGCGAUCCGGACUGUGGAAUUGAGUCCAAUAUAACUCUUCCGCCUCGUGAUCCCCCUGGCUCCGGAAGUGCUUAACGGCAUCAGCCGCACUCGCAGCCAAAUCCAUAUAUGGCCUCCGAACUCCACAGCCGCUCAAAUUGAGCGUACUUGGCAUCCAUAAACCGGCGACGCAUAAGAAACGGCUUGCCAGCCGUGAUUUCUCCGGCUUGGCGCAGCUCCUCCUUCAUAGCCCGCAUUGCAGAACAGGCAUCCUUGGCUUCGGCGGUGGCCUUCUUCAGGUCUUCCCGCUCCGAUAAGCGCUCCUUUUCAAGAGCCUCAUUGCGGUCGGUAGCAUCCUUUAAUUUCUUGGCCAAUUCGGCCACCUCUGCUUAGGCAGUGCGCCGCCUUCUCGGCUUUCAACUCUUCGGCCGCCCUCGCGGCAGCCACGUCACUCCUUCGGGCUUGCUCCUUAGCCAGAGCAAGUUCGGCCCGAAGGCUCUCCACAGCAGCAGCACUAUCUGUAUUAACAACAUAUAACUUAUCAGAGGCGGGCUUGGACCCACUCAAUAAAGCAGCUGCGGAGAACUUACUUACCUUGCGACUCAUCAAGUCGCUGAUUGACAAGGGCGAUGUCAGCAUCUGCCACGUCAAGUUGUCGACUUAAUUCGACAAACUCACUAGUCCGGCUGGCCCCCGGACUAUCCGCCACCUGUAUCAGAGCGGCGGUAUUCAUUGCCUGAGAUGUUGAGAUUUUGAUCCUUGGCACGCUGUCGUUUUCGACAACCUACCGAGUCUCAGGGGCUACUAUCUAUACAGGGCGCAUUUUUUAUAUGCAAAACUGUUAAAAAACAAAGGGGUGCAUCAUUUUCGCAUACCUCAAAUCCCGCCAGCAAGCUCAGGGCGGCAUUACGCAAUCCGCUUUCAGCGGACGAAAUCCUUCCGACCACCGUACGCAUUAAUACGCGGUGAUCUUCUGAAAUGGACGCCCUCUCAAGCAAACUCUUCAGUUCUCCCGGCCGGACUCUGGUGGGUGUUGAACUCUUUGGCCCCUCCGGACUCGGGGACGCCCUCCGUGACGACACUUCGGGCUCGCCUGCCUCAUCCGGCGGCGCGUCAGACGGAGGCGUAUCGCUCUCCAUCAUCUCCGGAAGAAGAUCCCCCGAGGAUGAACUCAUCUGAGACGGCUGCAGAUCCGAACUGCGACAUAAAUAUUCCGGUUACCUACAGAAGCGUAAACGAAGGUACUUCCUUAUUAAACUUCCUCUUUCAUACUCACGGCUCGUUGGAGGGCCGGUCCUUGGGCGAUGAUUGCGCGCCCGGAUUCCCUCCGGACGCCGGACCCCCCGGUGGGGAUUUCUUCCCACGCUUAGGGGCUUUGACCUCCGGAUCUUCGGAGGCGGUCCUCUUCUCCCUCUGAAGGGAGGGAUCCUUGGUUCCCUCCUCUUCAGUCGCCCCUUUGGACGAAGUAUUAGCUCCUUUAUCUCCCCCGUCGCCCCCCUCUGUGGGCGCAACCUCCAACAUUCUGACCAGCACGGGCUCCAGUGCGGUCUCUGGGAGGGGGGCCGGACACCUUAUCAGCCUUGAUCGCGCCACCCAUUCCUAUAAAGAACAAAAAGGGUCAGGAGAUGAUCUUUUGAAAGGCAUACAAAUAGAAUGUCCGAGCUCUGAGCUACUUACCUGAGUAUCCGGGCGAUCGCGGCUUAAGCCCGCGUCCUCGGCCGAAUCCGGACACGCUACCUGCGGUCCGAAGAACAGCUUGUACAUCUCCGUGGGUGUCGCGCCCAUAAAAUGCUGGAGAAUACGAGGUCCCUCCGGAUUGAACUCCCAUAGACGGAGAGGACGACGUUUGCAGGGCAGGAGAUGCCUGAUUAGCAUGACUUGCAUCACCUUGACCAGGUCGAUCUCCCCUGUUCGGAGGUCUUGAAUCCGGCCCUGCAGUGCGGGCACGUCCUCGGACGGCCCCCAGUUGAGCCCUUGGUUGACCCACGACAUUAGUUGCCGUGGAGGUCCCGGGCGGAAGGAGGGCGGUGGCUUUUGCUUGCUGCCCCUUGGAGCAGUGAUCUAAAACCACUCCUGCUGCCACAAUCCCUGCUCCUCUUGGAAGGAACCUUCGAGCCACGGGGCAUCGACCUUCUUGCUUAUGGUCGCCCCGCCGCACUCCGCUUGACGCCCCCCGAUCAUCUUCGGCUCCACCUUGAAUGUUUUCAGCCACAGGCCGAAGUGGGGGAUGACGCGGAGGAAGGCUUCGCAGACGAUAAUGAAUGCGGAGAUAUGGAGGAUGGACUCCGGAGCCAAAUCAUGGAAGUCCAGCCCGUAGUAGAAAAGGAGCCCUCUCACAAAGGGAUCCGUCGGGAAGCCUAAUCCCCGACGGAGGUGAGAUGCGAAAACGACGCGCUCGCCGGGCUCGGGGGCUGGCACGGCCUGCCCUGGGGCAGGCAACCUGUGCGAAACUUCGUAGGCCAGGUACUUGGCCUCCCGCAACUUGAAAAUGUCCUCCUCCGUGACGGAGGAGGGCAUCCACCGGCCCUGGAGGUCGGAGCCGGAAAUUGUAUAGGAUCCGAAGCGCUCGAAUCUGAAGCUCGGGGUGUUGGAACUAGGAGCAGAGGAAAGAUUCGAUGCGAGAUUGAAGAACAAGGACAGGCCUUGGUCCUCUUAUAAAGGGGGAAGAAAUACCAAGGCCCGUCUCCGUGACCGUUUGAGAUUCCUGUUCGAUAGAGGAGGCGUGGCGACGGGGACGGUUGGGUUACCCACACACGUAUUGAUGAGGAUCCCGGAAUAAAAGGGAACACGAUCUCUGCUUCGACAGGACGUGCCAAGGAAAUUGCUUCGCUAAACGUGCUGAGGCGGAAUAAUAAAAACGAUUCGAACAAGGGCUUGGCUGCGGUGUGAUGUCACGCCGCAUAAUACGUCAGCAGAUUGAGCUAAGUGUAUAUUUUAUCCUCUCUACGUUGGAGUGUGGAAUUUAUUUUGCAGAGUCGAAUACUAUCCUGGUAUUCAUUAUCUUCUCCGGAUUAUUCAAGGGAGGAACCCGCCUUGCAAUGCCGAACAUUAUGCACGCCGGACUUAUCGUCAUUGAAGACUGGUUAAGGGGCUACUGAGGGAGUCCUGGACUAGGGGGUGUCCGGACAGCCGGACUAUCAAUAUCCGCCGGACUCCCAGACUACGAAGAUAGAAGAUUGAAGACUCCGGCUCGUGUCCGGAAGGUACUUUCCUUGGCGUGGAAGGCAAGCUUGGCAAUACGGAUAUGUAGAUCUCCUACCAUUGUAACCGACUCUGUGUAACCCUAGCCUCUCCGGUGUCUAUAUAAACCGGAGGGCCUUAGUCCGUAGGACAACAUUACAUCUCAACAAUCAUACCAUAGGCUAGCUUCUAGGGUUUAGCCUCCUUGAUCUUGUGGUAGAUCUACUCUUGUACUACCCAUAUCAUCAAUAUUAAUCAAGCAGGACGUAGGGUUUUACCUCCAUCGAGAGGGCCCGAACCUGGGUAAAAACAUUGUGUCCCUCGUCUCCUGUUACCAUCCGCCUAGACGCACAGUUCGGGACCCCCUACCCGAGAUCCGUCGGUUUUGACACCGACAUUCCUCCUUUCCUUCUUUGAAGUACCGGUAGGGGUACGGAAAAGAUUGGAUUUUUAUCGAUCUGGAUUUUUUUGGCAAAUCGACGAAAAUAAAACUAAAUACAGGUUGGCAAAUGGGACACUAUUUGUAGACCGAAGGACCAAGGUGGCUUACCUAUUGAAAACCUUGAAGUGAAAAAUAAGUGAUUACUUAGCAAAUGGUUAUACCGAUUGGCGGUAGAGAGGGAUGGAGUAUGGAUUUAGCUGUUGCAUAAUAAAUAUUUACAUUGUAAAACGUUGGCUCAAGGGACAUCACAUCCAUCCGACUCUCCGUUUUGGAAGGAGCCUAUGAGGACAAAGGUUGCCUUCUUUAACUGGAGUAAGUUUAUUGUAUGGAAUGGACAUGGGACUAGGUUUUGGACGGACACUUGGUUGGGUGAGACUCCACUAGCCUUGCAGUAUCCGUCCUUAUAUAACAUGAAAACAGAAUGAGCGGUCGGUGAAAAUCCAAUGGCUGAAAUGGUUGAGUUGACCAGAUCUGAUGGCCAGGAAUGCCACAAAUCGAGAGCUCACCAUGGAAGCAAGUUGGCUAGGGUCCUUGUAGGUUAGAAUUGCACAACGGAAAAAAGUUUAUGUUGCUAUAGUGUUGUGAUACGUUCUUCUUAACAUUCAGUUCAGAUGGUCGUUAGUGGGUCAAAGAUUGGAUAGAUGGUUGCAUCUCGUGCGCAUGUUAAUGCAGGUAAACUUAUCUGAUGCAGCAGACUCCUUAUUUUGGAAGUUGUCCGCUUUAGGAGAGUUCUUAGUUAAAUCUAUGUAGACAGACUUGAUUAACACCGGGCCCAUCCUGAGGGCGAUCCACAUCUGAAAGAUUAAGGUACCAUUGAAAAUCAAGGUGUUUAUGUGGUUUGUGCAUAAAGGAGUAAUUUUGACAAAAGAUAACUUGGCUAAGUGUAGUUGGGAAGGAAGUAAAAGAUGUUGCUUUUGUGACACAGACGAAACAAUAGAGCAUCUAUUCCUCCAAUGCCCACUUGCUAAAUUAUUGUGGCGAACCAUUCAUGUUGCUUUUAAUAUUGUUCCGCCUCGGUCUCACAUUUAUUUGGGUCUUGGUUAAAUUGGAUAGAGCCCAAAACAGCGACACACAUUUGAGUUGGGGUAUGUGCAUUACUUUGGCUCAUUUGAAAUUAUCGAAACGAUGUUGCCUUUUACAGACAAACCAUCACCAAUUUUUUGCAGGUUAUCUUCAAGGCGUCUACUUGGAUCUGUAUGUGGUCAUUACUCAACCAUGUGGACCACAGGGAGCAUAUAUGGAUAUUGGGUGCAACCGAUGGGAGAUGAUUGCACGGGAUACUUAUAACCGGUUUGGAUGCGGUCCAAUAAUAGGAUAGGUUUUAGUCAUCUUACCCUAUUUUCCUUAGUUGUGGCAAAUUCCUUUUUUGAGACUUGUACUUUUGUUUGAGACUUCGUGUUGAACUUGGAUUAUAAAUAAAAUGGUUGUGUGCAUCAAAAGAUGCAGAGGUCGAGGGUUUUCCUCCUUUUCGAAAAAAAAAUUGUACUCAAGUUGCUCGUCCGGAAAAUCAAGGCUUGUCUACCUCUCUUGUCUUUUCACAUGGAGCGUGUACUGGCCAUACUACUAAGACUAGCCACUAGAAUAAUAAAUUUGGUUUUGCCAAUUCUCACUCCGAUGAGAAUUAACUAAAUCUCACUCAACAACACGGUAUGGAUUUACACGAAGAUUGAUGCAUAUUUUUCUUUUUUUUGUUCCGUUUGAUUGUUUUACAAUUUUUUAUUGUUUUGGCUAGCGAGCAUGCACUACAGUUGUGUGGCCGACUGGCGGAACUUGAUCCAUCAUUUGUAUGUGGCCUUUGAAUUACAUGAUGAGGUCAUUGACAAGGAUGACAAACCAAAUUCCUUUAACAGGAGGUGAAGUUCUACAAACCAUUUUAAUUUUUUAAAAUACUGGCGAUAGAAUAUAUGCAUAAGCUACAUUUGGAAACCAAAUAUAAAAAACAUAAGUCAUCAUGGCACAUCCUAUUACUUGCCAUUCCCAAUGAAUGGUAUUCUCGCCUGUUGAUUUUAGAUAGAAUUGCAACUAAUGUAAUUUCUUGUGCUAUAUUAAUUUGAAUUUUCAAUUCCAUAAUUUUUGGUAUGUCAAUGUGUUAUUUUACACCGGUCAUUGGCAUAUUUUCCAAAAUUAAAAAGUGCAACAAAAAGGUGUACGGAAACAGGGAAAGGAAAAACUGAAAGUGAAAGUUAUAGGGAAAUUAGAUAAAUAUACAAUAAAAUGUCAUAAUUCUACAUGAAAAUACUAAUAUAGCACAAUAAAAUAUAUUAUGUGUAAUAUGAACCUCCCUAAGGCCACAUGUUUAUCUAUCGGUCACUUUGAACAUACUGAAGAUGAUGCUCUCUUUUUUGUGAAUGCCAUCAAGCUAGUUACUAGACCAGAAAAAUAGAGACCAAACGGGUAGAGCACACAAGUAUAGUGAUCCAUGAUAUGCAGCAAAGCAUGUACAACUAGUUAAGAGCAUUUAUAGUCGGGCGUUUCAAACCAAUCUCAAACGACUGGGAUGACCGACACCCCUUAUAUCAAGCCCAAAUCUGAGCAGAUAUGGGGUAGCCCAGGAGCGUCCGCCAUGUUGGACUGAUGACCGGGUCUCACACACGUAAUCGCCCAUAAACCCAACGUUCGAUGGGCGUUUCCUCUGGUGGUGGUUGUAAAAGUGAUUUGGGAAGCGUAGAACCCUUUGUCUCGGGCCGCAUGCAUAUAUUAGGCAGAAGCCUUGGCACACAAGUUUACAGGGGGAGAGAUCAAUCAGAUGGGAUCGAUCAAGUCGUUACAGAAGGAUCGUGAAAGACAGAAGAAGAGAUAGAACAGAAUACAGAAUUUAAACCAACUCUAUCUCUAUAUAACUUCUACUACACUUCUACUAUACGUAUAUUCCAACACUCCCCCUCAAUCUAAACCUCAAGGAGCUUUGCCAAGGUUAAGAUUGUACUUGAAAUCAUUCAACCUCCUUUCAAUAAGGGGUUUUGUAAAACCAUCGGCAAGUUGAUCUCCUGUGGGAAUAAACCGAAUCUCCAGAAGCUUUCGAGCUACUCUUUCUCUGACAAAAUGGAAAUCAACUUCAAUGUGUUUAGUCCGUGCAUGAAAAACAGGAUUUGCUGAGAGAUACGUUGCACCAAUAUUAUCACACCAUAAUCUCGCAGCCUGUGGAGUUUUAACUCCAAGCUCAUAAAGUAAUGUUUGUAUCCACAUUACUUCUGCUGUGGCAUUAGCCAGAGCCUUAUAUUCAGCCUCUGUGCUUGACCUGGACACUGUAGCCUGUUUUCUUGCACUCCAUGACACAAGGUUAGUUCCCAGAAAUACAGCAAAACCACCUGUAGAUCUUCUAUCAUCAGCACAUCCUGCCCAAUCAGCAUCAGAGUAUGCAGUAACAAGCAGAGAAGAGGACUUGGUAAUGUUGAGACCAAGACCUUUUGAGAACUUGAGAUACCUUAAAAUUCUUUUGACUGCAGUCCAAUGUGUGGUUCUAGGUGCAUGUAGAUAUUGACAUACCUUGUUCACUGAAUAAGAUAUAUCAGGACGGGUGAGAGUUAAAUACUGCAAGGCACCUACAACACUCCUAUAAUUUGUUGCAUCCUCUCGUCCAAGAACUUCUCCACUUUCCACUGUAAGCUUCUCAGAGGUAGAAAUCGGUGUGUUAACUGGCUUGCAAUUUUCCAACCCUACUCUCCUGAGAAUAUCAGUUGUAUAUUUUUCCUGUGAGAGAAGUAUGCCAUCUUUAACUUGCUUUACCUCUAUACCAAGAAAAUAAUGAAGAUCACCCAAGUCCUUAAGAGCAAACUCCAGCUUCAGAUCUUUAAGCAAGCAAGUAGUGGCAUCUGAACUUGAACUUGCAACAAUUAUAUCAUCAACAUAAACCAGCACAAAAAUAGUAACAUUGCCUUUGCUAAAGAAGAAUAAUGAGGUAUCUGCCUUGGAUGGUCUGAACCCAAGACGUUGCAACUGCAUACUUAGUCUGGAGUACCAGGCUCUUGGGGCCUGCUUCAAACCAUACAAAGCUUUAUCCAACUUACAGACAUGUUGUGGUGUGCUAGGAUUCUCAUAACCUGGUGGUUGCCGCAUGAACACUUCUUCCUCAAGAACACCAUGAAGAAACGCGUUCUGAACAUCUAGCUGUCUUAAACUCCAUCCUCUGGAAACAACAAUAGACAAGACAAGGCGAAUAGUAGUUGACUUAAUAACAGGACUGUAUGUAUCUUCAUAAUCAAUUCCAAACCUCUGUUUAAACCCUUUGGCAACUAGUCUAGCCUUAUACCUGUCUAUGCUUCCAUCAGACUUUCUUUUGAUUUUGUACACCCAUUUGCAAUCAAUAACAUUGUUUCCAUACUUUGGUGGAAGCAAAUGCCAGGUUUUAUUUUUCAUAAGUGCAUCAUAUUCACUAUCCAUAGCUUCCUUCCAAUUCUUAUUAUCAAGAGCAUCAUCCAAACUUAGUGGUUCACCAGUGGUGGUAAGAAAAGCACGUUUGAUUUUGUCAUACCUUAUUGUACCAUCAUUGUACUUUUUUUCCUUGAUGGUACCUGACCUGGACCGUGUUUGCCGAGGAGAAACCACUACUAGGGAAAAGCCUAGCAGCAGCGCGGGUUUGGGCCCUCUCAGUAGCGCGGGUACCGGCGCUACUAAUAAGGCGCUACAGCUAACGUAUAGCAGUAGCGCGUGCUGACACACGCUACUGCUACACAUGAAUAGCUGCAGCGCUGUUUAGAAAAGGACGCUACUGGUAUUAUCUGCAGUGCUGUUUUGGUGUAAGCGCUAAUGGUAAGUCGGCGCUACUGCUAAAUCCCCCCCUCGCUACUACUAGUUUUAUUAGUUUUUUUUCCCUGCAGAUUUGUUUUUUAUUUGUUUUGCAUUUGAAUAGGCUUUAUACAAUAAUCUUUAGCAUAUCAUCCACAUACAAAUGUAAUCAUAGCAUAUACAUACAAUUAGUCUCAUCAAAUCAUGUCAUCAUCAUAAUCAUCAUCCAACACAAAGUGGUCUCUCGUCAUCAAUCUCGAAAAUAGCGAUACAAGUCUCGAUUACUUGCAAAUACAUCAUCAUCCAUCUAAAUAAUGAUAUACAUGAGAAUAGCUAUCACUUUGAGUACAUGAGUUCGUAUCCCUCUCUCGCAUUAGCGUGAACCUAAACUAAGUACUGCGUGUCGCUCGGAAACCGAAAACCGGUACACCUGGGCCUGACACUCCGGCCACUUGUCGUAUAUAUACUCCUGGCGUAGCACUUCUUCGCCAUUUAUGAUCUAUGCACCUGCAUCGUCACAUGAGUCGAUGAUAUGCAACAUAUAUAGUUGAGCAACACAAAGAGAUAGACUUGGCAAAAAUAGAAACAACAUAUCAUAAGCAUAAAUAACAAAGUUCAUCGUACCGAAAUGACCUAACUAGAGUGAUUUUCGCUAGUCGAGGAGGACGGUUUAAUUACAUCACAAAUAAAGUUUCACCGUGCAUAACUCAAAGUUUUGUCAUAAAAGAAACUAUGGACUAAACGGACACAUUGUCAUAUAUCGACAAUCACUCCAUCAUGUCGUGCCAUCCAUCCAAGUCAGGGAGAUAGUCAUCGAGCUUUGUGAAAGGCUUCAUGUCGAGACGCUGAGAGGCUAUCCAUGUUCGGACGUCUUCCCGCGACAUUUGUCCUUCUGCAUGGAACAUCCCUGUUUUUCCGACGACCUCAUUCAUGAUGAUUUGGGCAAGUUCGCACUGGAUGUUAUAGAACUCAGCUCAAAGUCGAUGAUCCUCGAUAUCUCCUAUGUCCUUUGCCCAUUGCAGAAUAUGGGCAUCGCUAGAUCUAGGUGCCAUGUGUAGGUUCUGGUGAUCCCGUCGGUACUCCAGCAUGUGGUGUAGGACAUAGAAUCCAUCAUUAAGAGAAUCGUUCGGUUGCUGGAUGCAGCAGAAGUCGGUCUUAUGGCUGAAGGCGUGCCUGCCGCCCCUUUUCUUCUUGUCCCUAACCUCUCCACCCCUUGCUUGGUAGUAAAACAUAGCAUUGUCGAGAACAUCUUUGAUGUGGGUGUAAUCCUUUUUGUGAAUGUUCUUCGACGAGUCCAAGUAAAGAGCGUGGGAGAAUCAGGGGUAGAGGAUGAUGAGGACGGCGCGCCCGCCGCUGCGCAAAAUAAGUACACCUUAAAUUAAUUAGCCUCCACCGUGCAAAUGAAUUAUUGAAAUCGAAGGAAGGAUAGCAGCGCAGAUGACUUACACGGGAUGAUAAGGCACGAGAAUCGCCUCCUUGUCCUUAUUGGCGAGCAUGAAACUGACGAUGUAAUCCCUCGCGUAUUCACGAUGAUGUGCACAGACUCCCAAGAAGGCCUCGUGCAUGUAGUACGGGUCAGCGACACGGAUAUGAGCUAUCUGCUCAACCCCAAUGAUGUAGCUCAUGUGCAAGGCAUAAAGGUGGACAAAAGUAAAAUCCAGCUUCUUCACGUGAAACAUGUCGAAUAUGUAAUCGAAUCGGAGGAAGAACUUAUCCGCGGGGAAGCCAUUGACGUACGACAUUUGCUACGGAACGUUAACCACGUAGAGUGGGUAUCCUGGAUCUUUCGAGGCGAUGAGGCCUUUCUCUACCCGCAGCACAUCGUCAUGAAGUCUCCUUAGAUCGCCGAAUCUGGCCCGUAGCGCUGUUUCAGGUAGGAUUGGUUUACCCGGGAUAUGCCACUUAUCCGCAUCGGGGAUAUCUACACGGUCCCGAAGCCGAGGCUGCUGAGGCGGCUGGAUCAUAGAAUCAGCUUUUUUGCCUUUCCUCGCUCUCUUCCUAGGCUUCUUUACCACUGGAUGGUCGUCAAUAACACGUUGAGACGGUAAUUCAGGCACCGACUCAUGAUGCUCAAACCCUGAGGAGGCGCCAGUAUAGACAUACUGUUCAGCGCCAUCGUCAUCCUCAUCCUCAUCCAUGGUGACAUCAUCAGCCUAAUGGAGCCACCUGCUUACCCCGUCCGCUAUCACCCAACCCGACACCCGACGCUAAUUGGGUAGGUGGGGUGUUGAUGUUCAUACCUUGCUGAAGCUGCGUGCUCGUGGGUGUGCUCCCGGCCGCCUCCAGACGAAGCAGACUCUUUGGCCACAACAGGACCCACCCAUUGCAACAAUCACCAAGCCGCCGAGGGGUCUCGUCGUCAUCCCCCACUAGUAUUAGAGGAGGCAAAUUCUCGUGGCCCGGUUUGACACUGGCCACGGAAACCUUGAAGACGUUCGGGGGGAUCGACCGGCUGUGGAACAAUGGUUCCUUCGGCUCCAUUAUCGUCCCCUUCCCCACGUCCACCUUCUGUUCGCUGAUGGUGUACAAUAUGGUGCACGGGGUUUCGUCGACCUGCAAAUAAAAGUCUGCGACGUGAGACAUCCGAAAGGCAACGAAAACGGGAGAUUAUACAUUUAUAUUGAAGGGGGCCGGUGUGGAAGAUACCGUGAGGGCGUCGAGCUCAGCCAAAGAGGAGGCACCACCGAGCACGUCCGGUGCGGCAGCCGGUGCGGGAGCCGGUGCGGGAGCAGGUGCGGGAGCCGGUGCGGGAGCAGGUGCGGGAGCCGGUGCGGGAGCAUGUGCUGCCAAGAAGUCAGCAAGGGGAAAGUCCUCUGCAUUUUUUUGGAUUUUCCCUUGUCCAAGUGUGAACGCCCGUCACCAAGGAAGUAGAUAUAUCUGCAAUCGCCUGUUUUGCGGCAGCUACCGCUGUUGCGACUGUCUGAGAUGAUUUCUUCUCAACCGCAAUCUCAACCUUCUUGUCGAUGCUUUCUUCAGUUAACCUCCGUCUUUCCUUUUUCUCCUCCGUGGUCUCACGGUAGUACUUCUUCCACGUGGCGCCGUCUCCGACACCGUGCACGCGUCCAUACGACGGUCGAGUAUCCACCGGUUAUCGUUUCAAUAUGUUCAACGCCCGGUUGAAUGGAGUGUCCCACUUGGGCCUCGCCAAUGCCUCAGACGGUGAGUCGCUUUCGGCCGCAAUCCGGUGUUGCUCUCUCUGCAAAAGGCACAAGGAUCGUUUACAAAUAUGACUAACGUGUGCAGUCGAAUUGAUGAGAAACUAAAAUUACCAGCAGUCUCAUGAACUCCGUAAUGACCGGUGUUGUCUCAUAAACCUUCUUCAGUGGGUCCCAACGGUGGCGGGCCCUCAGGACGUCACGCUCCUGCGGGACGGUGAAAUCCGCCAAGGGGUCUGGGAUGCCCAGACUCGCGGCUUCCGCGUCCUCCUUGGCCCAUUUGGACCUCUUUCCGCCGUAACCACGGCUUCCGAGGUGGUGGGUCCCAAUGUUCCUCUUUUGAAGCCCCUUCAUGUACUUAGACUUUUCUUUGGCAGCUUCGGCCUCGCAAGCCUCCUUGAAUAUUUGAAACUGCUCUUCCGUGAUUGUCGGACUUUCCUUUACAAUCUCGGAGUAGGGUUCCCCGUCGUUGAUCUUUGCUUUCACUCGAUUUUUCCAGGCGGCCAACGCGUUGCUAAACUUGGUCAUGGCGUGUUUGUUUAUCUUCUUCAUUGCCGGGUCAUUGUCUGGAUCUUCAUAAUCCUUCUCAUUCCGGCCCGGGAACAAGAAUAUUUGGUGAAACUUCUUUAGGAGGGAGCUCCUCAUAUUUUCUACCUUCUUUAGAUUCUCAUCGUUGAUGGUGGCGGUUGUCCGUAUGAUGCAGCCUAUUUGAUUGCCGUAGCACGCGCGCGCUUCCUCGGGCGCCUUUGGCUCAAAAUUGCCGUUGUCCACCUCGGUGACCACCAGUCUAGUAGUCCUGAGUUUGUUAGGAACCCGUUGCCUCUUCGCUUUCGGUGCUACACCGGAUCCGCUCCCUGAGGCAGCACCGGUCUCAGCGCCGGUCUCGAUGCCGGUCUGAAUCUCAGCGCCGGUGUCAGUCUCAGCACCGGUCUGCGUAUCGGUCUCAGCACCGGUCUGCGUGUCAGUCUCAGUCCCCGAUGCCGGGCCCAGCAACAACAUCUGUUGAUCGUCGGUAAAGCUAAAAAAUUCGUCUGCCGCCCGGUAGACGUCGUCACAAUCACCAGAACCCUGUCCUUCAUCGUUGCUAGCCAUGUUUCCUAUGAUUAAAUCUAGUCAAUUAAUUCUAGACCUAAUAAAAUGAAUAAUGACAUAAAAAAGGACUAUUGUUUUGCAGGAAUGUUGACUCCUUCUUGGUGCGGCAAAUCCCGGGCACUCGAUAUGUCCUAGUUUGUAGCACAAGUCAUGCCGAAAUUCACGGGAAAUUUCGGCAUGACCUUUGCUAAAAAGUGGACAAAUCGAGAACCUGAAAUUUGCCGGAACAGAAAUGAAUCAACAUUCCGGCAAAACACAGGCCACUCAGCAUCAUUCCCUGGAAACAACAAAGCCACCACUUGGGCACAAUCGAACAACUUCAAUGAAAAGAUAUAACAUGACCACUUCAAUGAAAAAUAAAAUUUGCCUAAAUUCUUUUCCUUGAAAAAUAGUGGUCUUUUGAAAAAUCAAAAACCUUUGCCAAUCUACUUAACCUAGCUUCUUAAUCCAACGAACCUAAUUAACCUACCUAUUUAACCUAGUUAGUUAAUCUAGUUUACCUAGAUAAUUAACCCUAAUUAAACUAGUUAACGCAGCUAGUUCUCUGUCAAAGCCUAAAAUAAAUUUUUGCACUAAUUAACAUGGAUAAUUAACCUAAUUAAACUAGUUAACCUGACUAGUUCUCUGUCAAAGCCCUAACUAAGUUUUUGCACUAACCUAGAUAAUUAACCUAAUUAAACUAGUUAACCUAACUACUUCUCUGUCAAUGCCCUAACUAAAUUUUUGCCCUAACCUAGAUAAUUAACCUAAUUAAAAACUGGCUAACCUAUGCAUGAGAGAGAGAGGAGGGGUGGGGGCUUACACAUGAUGGCUCCGGUGGUGGCGACGGAGACAGUGUGGUGGCGAGGGAGGCAGGGGCGUCUCCGGUGACGGCGAGGGAGGCAGGGGCGUCUCCGGUGACGGCGAGGAAGGUGGCGUCGACGGUGGCUCCGGUGGCGUUGACGAGGCCGCGCGGCUCCAUGGCGUUGGGGGCGGCUCCGGUGUCGUCGACGGCGCACGGCUCUGGUGCGCGUCGUCGGCGGCGGCGAAGUGUGGGGCGACGAAUCGGGGAGACGGCAGCGCGCGCGCGGGGUGGGUUUGAGGGAUUUGGGGGAAGUGGUGGCCGGGGGGGGGACGGUUUUUUGGCUAAGUCAAACUUAGCGGUAGCGCGUUUCGCAAAACGCGCUAUAGCUAAGUUAGCUAUAGCGCUUUCCUCAAAACGCGCUGCUGCUAUAGCUAAUUUCCUAUUCUGUUUCUAUAGCGGGGGUCUAGGGCACGCGCUGCAGCUACGUUAGCUGUAGCGCCUCUUACAAACAAACGCUGCUGCUAUGCCUUCCUCUGAUUUUUCACUUUUUCGUUUAUUUUGCUUUACAUUUUAUUUUUCCCUUUCUCCUUUUUCUAUUUCUUCCAUUUUCAUUUAAAUUUCUAUUUGUUUAUCAUCUUAUUUUCUUUCCGUUAGUAGUAGCGCUCUUCCCUGGAAACACGCUGCUAACUGUGCUCUAGCAGUAGCGCGUUUCUGUUAAGCUCGCUACUGCUAUGCGUAGCCUAGCAUUCUGCCAAUGGGAAUAUUAGUAGUAGCGCUUUUUUUACAAUAGGCGCUACUGCUAAAUUUGUGUCUGUAGCGCAGUUUUUAAUAGCUCGCUACUGCUAUAUAGCACUAGCGCAGUUUUUUGAACCGCGCUGCUGCUAAGAUUCUGUGUAUAGCCUUUUCCCUAGUAGUGAACCGUAGGCAGCACAGGAGAAAUCACCGCCACAGAAGAUCCAGCCGGCGCAUGAUCCGAGGCGGAUCCGUGCGACAGCUCGGCUGGCUCGGGCUCCAGAUCCGAGGAAGAUUCGCGCAGCGCAGGCGCCGAAUCAGCGCGCGUUGAUUCCUCCACCGCCGUGGGCCCAUGCGACGUGGGGUCCGCCCCACAUGCACGCGCACGAUCGGUUGCGUCCGCCGAUGCACUCCCCCCGGUACGCGGGCUGUCAGCGCGUGGGGACCCGGCGGCUGACGACGCAGCAUGAUUGGCUCGGGGCGACGCCGUGGGUCCGGUGGGCUCCACCCUAUCAGCCCGGUCGGCCACCAGCCCGGAUGAGGCCAGGCGCACGGGCGGAUCCGCUUGGGAUCGCACGCCGCCAGGUGCGGCAGUCUGGGCGGGCGUAUCGGCCUCGGAUCGCCCGCUGGCAGCCGAAUCUGCCUCGGGUUCCGUGACCUGCCUGUCUUUUCCUUCACACAUAAAAUCACAGGGUAAAGUUGCACAAAUAACAUCAGCAGAAUCAGAUUUUUCAUGGGAUUUUUGCAUAUGAUCUCGUUCAUUUAAUUCCCCCUCACUAUCAUAUAAUGUUGCUGAAGGAAAUAUGCCCUAGAGGCAAUAAUAAAGUUAUUAUUUAUUUCCUUAUUUCAUGAUAAAUGUUUAUCAUUCAUGCUAGAAUUGUAUUAACCGGAAACAUGAUACAUGUGUGAAUGCAUAGACAAACAAAAUGUCACUAGUAUGCCUCUACUAGACUAGCUUGUUAAUCAAAGAUGGUUAUGUUUCCUAACCAUGAACAAAGAGUUGUUAUUUGAUUAACAAGGUCACAUCAUUAGUAGAAUGAUCUGAUUGACAUGACCCAUUCCAUUAGCUUAGCACACGAUCGUUUAGUAUGUUGCUACUGCUUUUAUCCAUGACAUAUACAUGUUCCUGUAACUAUGAGAUUAUGCAACUCCCGUUUACCGGAGGAACACUUUGGGUGCUACCAAACGUCACAACGUAACUGGGUGAUUAUAAAGGAGUACUACAGGUGUCUCCAAAGGCAGAUGUUGGGUUGGCGUAUUUCGAGAUUAGGUUUUGUCACUCCGAUUGUCGGAGAGGUAUCUCUGGGCCCUCUCGGUAAUACACAUCACUGAAGCCUUGCAAGCAUUACAACUAAUGAGUUAGCUGUGAGAUGAUGUAUUACGGAACGAGUAAAGAGACUUGCCGGUAACGAGAUUAAACUAGGUAUUGGAUACUGAGGAUCGAAUCUCGGGCAAGUAACAUACCGAUGACAAAGGGAACAACGUAUGUUGUUAUGCGGUCUGACUGAUAAAGAUCUUCGUAGAAUAUGUAGGAACCAAUAUGGGCAUCCAGGUCCCGCUAUUGGUUAUUGACCGGAGAUGUGUCUCGGUCAUGUCUACAUUGUUCUCGAACCGUAGGGUCCGCACGCUUAAGGUUUCGAUGACGGUUAUAUUAUGAGUUUGUGUAUUUUGAUGUACCGAAGAAGUUCGGAGUCUCGGAUGUGAUCACGGACAUGACGAGGAGUCUCGAAAUGGUCGAGACAUAAAGAUUGAUAUAUUGGAAGCCUAUAUUUGGAGUUCGGAAUGAUUCCGGGUGAAAUCGGGAUUUUACCGGAACACCGGGGGGUUACCGGAACCCUCCCGGAGGCUAUUGGGCCUUAGUGGGCCACGAGGGAGAAGAGGAAGGGCCGGCCAGGGCAGGCCGCGCGCCCCCUCCCCCCCUAGUCCGAAUAGGAUAAGGAGAGGGGGGCGGCGCCCCCCCUUCCCUCUUCCCCUCCCCCAAUCCUACUCCAACUAGGAAAGGGGGGAGUCCUACUCCCGGUGGGAGUAGGACUCCUCCGGCGCGCCUCCUCCAAGGGCCGGCCGCACCCCCCCUUGCUCCUUUAUAUACGGGGGCAGGGGGGCACCCUAGAACACACAAGUUUGAUCUACGGAUCGUUCCUUAGCCGUGUGCGGUGCCCCCCUCCACCAUAUUCCACCUCGGUCAUAUCGUUGCGAAGCUUAGGCGAAGCUCUGUGCCGGUAGAACAUCAAGAUCGUCACCACGCCGUCGUGCUGACGAAACUCUCCCUCCCCGAAGCUCUACUGGAUUGGAGCCCGAGGAGCGUCAUCGAGCUGUACGUGUGUCAAGAACUCGGGGGCGUCGGAGUAACGGCGCCGGGAUCGGUCGGAUCGCGAGGAGAUCGUACGACUACUUCCUCUACGUUGUGAUCGCUUCCGCUUCGGUCUACGAGGGUACGUAGACAACACUCUCCCCUCUCGUUGCUAUGCAUCACCAUGAUCUUGCGUGUGCGUAGGAAAUUUUUUGAAAUUACUACGUUCCCCAACAGUGGCAUCCGAGCCUAGGUUUUUAUGGUUUGAUGUUUUGCACGAGUAGAACACAAGUGAGUUGUGGGCGAUACAUGUCAUACUACCUACCAGCAUGUCAUACUUUGGUUCAGCUGUAUUGUGAGAUGAAGCGGCCCGGACCGACAUUACGCGUACGCUUACGCGAGACUGGUUUCACCGCUACGAUCACUCGUUGCUUAAAGGUGACUGGCGGGUGUCUGUCUCUCUCACUUUAGUUGAACCGAGUGUGGCUACGCCCGGUCCUUGAGAAGGUUAAAACGGAGUCUAUUUGACAAAGUAUCGUUGUGGUUUUGAUGCAUAGGUGAGAUUGGUUCUUGCUUAAGCCCGUAGCAGCCACGUAAAAUUUGCAACAACAAAGUAGAGGACGUCUAACUUGUUUUUGCAGGGCAUGUUGUGAUGUGAUAUGGUCAAGACGUGAUGCUAUAUUUUAUUGUAUGAGAUGAUCAUGUUUUGUAACCGAAGUCAUCGGCAACUGGCUGGAGCCAUAUGGUUGUCGCUUUAUUGUAUGCAAUGCAAUCGCCCUGUAAUGCUUUAAUUUAUCACUAAGCGGUAGCGAUAGUCGUAGAAGCAUAAGAUUGGCGAGACGACAACGAUGCUACGAUGGAGAUCAAGGUGUCGCGCCGGUGACGAUGGUGAUCAUGGUGGUGCUGCAGAGAUGGAGAUCACGAAGCACAAGAUGAUGAUGACCAUAUCAUAUCACUUAUAUUGAUUUGCAUGUGAUGUUUAUCUUUUAUGCAUCUUAUCUUGCUCUGAUUGACGGUAGCAUUAUAAGAUGAUCUCUCACUAAAUUAUCAAGAAGUGUUCUCCCUGAGUAUGCACCGUUGCCAAAGUUCGUCGUGCCCAGACACCACGUGAUGAUCGGGUGUGAUAAGCUCUACGUCCAUCUACAACGGGUGCAAGCCAGUUUUGCACACGCAGAAUACUCAGGUUAUACUUGACGAGCCUAGCAUAUGCAGAUAUGGCCUCGGAACACGGAGACCGAAAGGUCGAGCGUGAAUCAUAUAGUAGAUAUGAUCAACAUAAGAUGUUCACCAUUGAAAACUACUCCAUUUCACGUGAUGAUCGGUUAUGGUUUAGUUGAUUUGGAUCACGUGAUCACUUAGAUGACUAAGAGAGAUGUCUGUCUAAGUGGGAGUUCUUUAGUAAUAUGAUUAACUGAACUUAAAUUUAUCAUGAACUUAGUACCUGAUAGUAUCUUGCUUGUUUAUGUUUGAUUGUAGAUAGAUGGCUCGUGCUGUUGUUCCGUUGAAUUUUAAUGCGUUCCUUGAGAAAGCAAAGUUGAAAGAUGAUGGUAGCAAUUACACGGACUGGGUCCGUAACUUGAGGAUUAUCCUCAUUGCUGCACAGAAGAGUUACGUCCUGGAUGCACCGCUAGGUGCCAGGCCUGCUGCAGGAGCAACACCAGAUGUUGUGAACGUCUGGCAGAGCAAAGCUGAUGACUACUCUAUAGUUCAGUGUGCCAUGCUUUACGGCUUAGAACCGGGACUUCAACGACGUUUUGAACGUCAUGGAGCAUAUGAGAUGUUCCAGGAGUUGAAGUUGAUAUUCCAACAGAAUGCCCGGAUUGAGAGAUAUGAAGUCUCCAAUAAGUUCUAUAGCUGCAAGAUGGAGGAGAAUAGUUCUGUUAGUGAGCACAUACUCAGAAUGUCUGGGUACUACAAUCACUUGACACAAUUGGGAGUUAAUCUUCCGGAUGAUUGUGUCAUUGACAGAAUUCUUCAAUCACUGCCACCAAGCUACAAAGGCUUCGUGAUGAACUAUAAUAUGCAAGGGUUAGUAAAGACUAUACCUGAGCUCUUCGCAAUGCUAAAGGUUGCGGAGGUAGAAAUCAAGAAGGAGCAUCAAGUGUUGAUGAUCAAUAAGACCACCAGUUUCAAGAAGAAAGGCAAAGGGAAGAAGAAGGGGAACUUCAAGAAGAACAGCAAGCAAGUUGCUGCUCAGGAGAAGAAACCCAAGUCUGGACCCAAACCUAAAACUGAGUGUUUCUACUGCAAGCAGACUGGUCACUGGAAGCGGAACUGCCCCAAGUAUUUGGCGGAUAAGAAGGAUGGCAAGGUGAACAAAGGUAUAUGUGAUAUACAUGUCAUUGAUGUGUACCUUACUAGAGCUCGCAGUAGCACCUGGGUAUUUGAUACUGGUUCUGUUGCUAAUAUUUGCAACUCGAAACAGGGACUACGGAUUAAGCGAACACUGGCAAAGGACGAGGUGACGAUGCGCGUGGGAAAUGGUUCCAAAGUCGAUGUGAUCGCGGUCGGCACGCUACCUCUACAUCUACCUUCGGGAUUAGUUUUAGACCUAAAUAAUUGUUAUUUGGUGCCUGCGUUGAGCAUGAACAUUAUAUCUGGAUCUUGUUUGAUGCGAGACGGUUAUUCAUUUAAAUCAGAGAAUAAUGGUUGUUCUAUUUAUAUGAGUAAUAUCUUUUAUGGUCAUGCACCCUUGAAGAGUGGUCUAUUUUUGAUGGAUCUCGAUAGUAGUGAUACACAUAUUCAUAAUGUUGAAACCAAAAGAUGCAGAGUUGAUAAUGAUAGUGCAACUUAUUUGUGGCACUGCCGUUUAGGUCAUAUCGGUGUAAAGCGCAUGAAGAAACUCCAUACUGAUGGACUUUUGGAGUCACUUGAUUAUGAAUCACUUGGCACUUGCGAACCGUGCCUCAUGGGCAAGAUGACUAGAACCCCGUUCUCCGGUACUAUGGAGAGAGCAACAGAUUUGUUGGAAAUCAUACAUACAGAUGUAUGUGGUCCGAUGAAUGUUGAGGCUCGUGGCGGAUAUCGUUAUUUUCUCACCUUCACAGAUGAUUUAAGCAGAUAUGGGUAUAUCUACUUAAUGAAACAUAAGUCUGAAACAUUUGAAAAGUUCAAAGAAUUUCAGAGUGAAGUUGAAAAUCAUCGUAAUAAGAAAAUUAAAUUUCUACGAUCUGAUCGUGGAGGUGAAUAUUUGAGUUACGAGUUUGGUCUACAUUUAAAACAAUGCGGAAUAGUUUCGCAACUCACGCCACCCGGAACACCACAGCGUAAUGGUGUGUCCGAACGUCGUAAUCGUACUUUACUAGAUAUGGUGUGAUCUAUGAUGUCUCUUACAGAUUUACCGCUAUCGUUUUGGGGUUAUGCUCUAGAGACGGCCGCAUUCACACUGAAUAGAACACCGUCAAAAUCCGUUGAGACGACACCUUAUGAACUAUGGUUUAGCAAGAAACCAAAGUUGACGUUUCUUAAAGUUUGGGGAUGUGAUGCUUAUGUGAAAAAGCUUCAACCUGAUAAGCUCGAACCCAAAUCGGAGAAAUGUGUCUUCAUAGGAUACCCAAAGGAGACAGUUGGGUACACCUUCUAUCACAGAUCCGAAGGCAAGACAUUUGUUGCCAAGAAUGGAUCCUUUCUAGAGAAGGAGUUUCUCUCGAAAGAAGUGAGUGGGAGGAAAGUAGAACUUGAUGAGGUAAUUGUACCUUCUCCCUUACUUGAAAGUAGUUUGUCGCAGAAACCGGUUUCUAAGACAUCUACACCAAAUAGUGAGGAAGUUGAUGAUGUUGAUCAUGAAACUUCAGAUCAAGUUACUACAGAACCUCGUAGAUCAACCAGAGUAAGAUCCGCACCAGAGUGGUACGGUAAUCCUGUUCUGGAAAUCAUGCUACUAGAUCAUGAUGAACCUACGAACUAUGAAGAAGCGAUGGUGAGCCCAGAUUCCGCAAAAUGGCUUGAGGCCAUGAAAUCUGAGAUGGGAUCCAUGUAUGAAAACAAAGUAUGGACUUUGGUUGACUUGCCCGAGGGUCGGCAAGCAAUAGAAAACAAGUGGAUCUUCAAGAAGAAGACUGACGCUGACGGUAAUGUUACUGUCUACAAAGCUCGACUUGUCGCAAAGGGUUUUCGACAAGUUCAAGGGAUUGACUACGAUGAGACCUUCUCACCCGUAGCGAUGCUUAAGUCUGUCCGAAUCAUGUUAGCAAUUGCCGCAUUUUAUGAUUAUGAAAUUUGGCAAAUGGAUGUAAAGACUGCAUUCCUGAAUGGAUUUCUGGAAGAAGAGUUGUAUAUGAUGCAACCAGAAGGUUUUAUCAAUCCAAAGGGAGCUAACAAAGUGUGCAAGCUCCAGCGAUCCAUUUAUGGACUGGUGCAAGCAUCUCGGAGUUGGAAUAAACGCUUUGAUAGUGUGAUCAAAGCAUUUGGGUUCAUACAGACUUUUGGAGAAGCCUGUAUUUACAAGAAAGUGAGUGGGAGCUCUGUAGCAUUUCUGAUAUUAUAUGUAGAUGACAUAUUAUUGAUCGGAAAUGAUAUAGAAUUUCUGGAUAGCAUAAAGGGAUACUUGAAUAAGAGUUUUUCAAUGAAAGACCUCGGUGAAGCUGCUUACAUAUUGGGCAUUAAGAUCUAUAGAGAUAGAUCAAGACGCUUAAUUGGACUUUCACAAAGCACAUACCUUGACAAAAUUUUGAAGAAGUUCAAAAUGGAUCAAGCAAAGAAAGGGUUCUUGCCUGUGUUACAAGGUGUGAAGUUGAGUAAGACUCAAUGUCCGACCACUGCAGAAGAUAGAGAGAAAAUGAAAGAUGUUCCCUAUGCUUCAGCCAUAGGCUCUAUCAUGUAUGCAAUGCUGUGUACCAGACCUGAUGUGUGCCUUGCUAUAAGCUUAGCAGGGAGGUACCAAAGUAAUCCAGGAGUGGAUCACUGGACAGCGGUCAAGAACAUCCUGAAAUACCUGAAAAGGACUAAGGAUAUGUUUCUCGUAAUGGAGGUGACAAAGAGCUCAACGUAAACGGUUACGUUGAUGCAAGCUUUGACACAGAUCCGGACGAUUCUAAAUCGCAGACCGGAUACGUAUUUACACUAAACGGAGGAGCUGUCAGUUGGUGCAGUUCUAAACAAAGCGUCGUAGCGGGAUCUACAUGUGAAGCGGAGUACAUAGCAGCUUCGGAAGCAGCUAAUGAAGGAGUCUGGAUGAAGGAGUUCAUAUCCGAUCUAGGUGUCAUACCUAGUGCAUCGGGUCCAAUGAAAAUCUUCUGUGACAAUACUGGAGCAAUUGCCUUAGCAAAGGAAUCCAGAUUUCACAAGAGGACCAAGCACAUCAAAAGACGCUUCAAUUCCAUCCGGGAUUUAGUCCAGGUGGGAGACAUAGAGAUUUGCAAGAUACACACGGAUCUGAAUGUAGCAGACCCGUUGACUAAGCCUCUUCCACGAGCAAAACAUGAUCAACACCAAGACUCCAUGGGUGUUAGAAUCAUUACUAUGUAAUCUAGAUUAUUGACUCUAGUGCAAGUGGGAGACUGAAGGAAAUAUGCCCUAGAGGCAAUAAUAAAGUUAUUAUUUAUUUCCUUAUUUCAUGAUAAAUGUUUAUCAUUCAUGCUAGAAUUGUAUUAACCGGAAACAUGAUACAUGUGUGAAUGCAUAGACAAACAAAAUGUCACUAGUAUGCCUCUACUAGACUAGCUUGUUAAUCAAAGAUGGUUAUGUUUCCUAACCAUGAACAAAGAGUUGUUAUUUGAUUAACAAGGUCACAUCAUUAGUAGAAUGAUCUGAUUGACAUGACCCAUUCCAUUAGCUUAGCACACGAUCGUUUAGUAUGUUGCUACUGCUUUUAUCCAUGACAUAUACAUGUUCCUGUAACUAUGAGAUUAUGCAACUCCCGUUUACCGGAGGAACACUUUGGGUGCUACCAAACGUCACAACGUAACUGGGUGAUUAUAAAGGAGUACUACAGGUGUCUCCAAAGCCAGAUGUUGGGUUGGCGUAUUUCGAGAUUAGGUUUUGUCACUCCGAUUGUCAGAGAGGUAUCUCUGGGCCCUCUCGGUAAUACACAUCACUGAAGCCUUGCAAGCAUUACAACUAAUGAGUUAGCUGUGAGAUGAUGUAUUACGGAACGAGUAAAGAGACUUGCCGGUAACGAGAUUAAACUAGGUAUUGGAUACUGACGAUCGAAUCUCGGGCAAGUAACAUACCAAUGACAAAGGGAACAACGUAUGUUGUUAUGCGGUCUGACCGAUAAAGAUCUUCGUAGAAUAUGUAGGAACCAAUAUGGGCAUCCAGGUCCCGCUAUUGGUUAUUGACCGGAGACGUGUCUCGGUCAUGUCUACAUUGUUCUCGAACCGUAGGGUCCGCACGCUUAAGGUUUCGAUGACGGUUAUAUUAUGAGUUUGUGUAUUUUGAUGUACUGAAGAAGUUCGGAGUCUCGGAUGUGAUCACGGACAUGACGAGGAGUCUCGAAAUGGUCGAGACAUAAAGAUUGAUAUAUUGGAAGCCUAUAUUUGGAGUUCGGAAUGAUUACGGGUGAAAUCGGGAUUUUACCGGAACACCGGGGGGUUACCGGAACCCUCCCGGAGGCUAUUGGGCCUUAGUGGGCCACGAGGGAGAAGAGGAAGGGCCGGGCAGGGCAGGCCGCGCGCCCCCUCCCCCCUAGUCCGAAUAGGACAAGGAGAGGGGGGCGGCGCCCCCCCUUCCCUCUUCCCCUCCCCCAAUCCUACUCCAACUAGGAAAGGGGGGGGAGUCCUACUCCCGGUGGGAGUAGGACUCCUCCGGCGCGCCUCCUCCAAGGGCCGGCCGCACCCCCCCUUGCUCCUUUAUAUACGGGGGCAGGGGGGCACCCUAGAACACACAAGUUUGAUCUACAGAUCGUUCCUUAGCCGUGUGCGGUGCCCCCCUCCACCAUAUUCCACCUCGGUCAUAUCGUUGCGAAGUUUAGGCGAAGCUCUGCGCCGGUAGAACAUCAAGAUCGUCACCACACCGUCGUGCUGACGAAACUCUCCCUCCCCGAAGCUCUACUGGAUUGGAGCCCGAGGAGUGUCAUCGAGCUGUACGUGUGUCAAGAACUCGGGGGCGUCGGAGUAACGGCGCCGGGAUCGGUCGGAUCGCGAGGAGAUCGUACGACUACUUCCUCUACGUUGUGAUCGCUUCCGCUUCGGUCUACGAGGGUACGUAGACAACACUCUCCCCUCUCGUUGCUAUGCAUCACCAUGAUCUUGCGUGUGCGUAGGAAAUUUUUUGAAAUUACUACGUUCCCCAACAGUUGCGGGAUCAGAGAGAAGGGCAAUCUCUGCACGAAGCAAGGCGCCGGCAUUAGGAUGCAAUUUGGAAAACGGAAAGAGUGUCUCAUCAAAAACAACAUCACGUGAAAUAUAGAUGCGUCUGGUAGAGAUUUCAAGGCACUUAUAACCUUUAUGAAGAUUACUAUAGCCAAGAAAGACACACUGUGUGGAUCUAAACUCAAGUUUAUGACGGUUGUAGGGACGCAAAUUUGGGUAGCAAGCACACCCAAAUAUCUUGAGAUAGUUGUAAUCAGGUUUUUGAUGAUAGAGACGCUCUAAAGGAGUAGUGUUUCCAAUAACUUUGCUAGGGAGCCUAUUGAUAAGAUAGGUGGCAGUAAUGAAAGCUUCGUCCCAAUACUUGAGAGGCAUAGAAGCAUGGGCUAACAGAGAAAGACCAACUUCAACGAUGUGGCGGUGUUUACGCUCAGCAGAGCCAUUCUGUUGAUGAGCAUGGGGGCAAGAUACAUGAUGGACAAUCCCAAUACUGCGGAAAAAAGAGUGAAGUUUCUCAUACUCCCCUCCCCAGUCACUUUGGACGGCGAGGAUUUUUCUGUCAAAUUGGCGCUCAACAAGUUUCUGAAACUCUUGGAAAAUAGAGAAGACUUCAGAUUUAUAUCGAAGUAAAUAAAUCCAAGUGAACUUGCUAUAAUCAUCGAUAAAACUGACAUAAUAUUUUUUCUGACCAAAAGAAUCUCAGGCAUGGCCCCAUACAUCACUGAAAAUAAGUUCUAAUGGAGCAUGAGACACACUAGUUGACUUGGGAUAAGGAAGCUGAUGGCUCUUGGCACAUUGACAGGCUUCACAGACAGACUCACAAACUGAACUAGGAGACAAAGAAAGUUUGUCUUUAUUGACUAUUUGUUUGAAAUUGAUCGAAGAUGGAUGCCCUAAUCGUUGAUGCCACCGUGCCAAAGAGGGCUUGAUGACGGAGUAGACGUGACGACGCUUGCGACCUAGUGCUCCGGAUGGAAUAGGGUAGAGCCCUCCAACGCAUCUACCGUGAUGAAGUAGUUCCCUCGUUGCCCGAUCCUUGAUGAAAAAAUAACGAGGGUGAGUUUCAAAGAAGACAUUGUUGUCGGUGGCUAGUCUAGACAUUGAUGCAAGGUUUUUGUCAGCUUGAGGAACAUGAAGCACAUCUCUAAGAACAAGAUCGCGUUUAAGUGUAGGGGAAUUAAUAGAACUUUGACCAAUAUGACAAAUAUACAUACCUCCACCACUAGCAGUGUGAAUCUGAUCGGCGCCAUGAUAGCGCUCGCGUAGAGCAAGUUGCUCGAGUUCGUUCGUCACAUGAUCCGUAGCACCGGAGUCGACGUACCAGACGCCAUCUCCAGCCUGCUCACGCAUGGCGGCAGCAACGUGGCGAUCUGAGGGCACGAAGUCCUCCUCGUAACUAUGCCAGCAAUCAAUCACCUCGUGGCCAGACUUUUUGCAAAGCUGGCAUCGAGGUCGCGGGCGGGAAGGAGCGCGGCGGCCGUUGUUGUUGUUGAAGCCGCCGCUGUUGCCGCUGUUGUUGUAGCCGUCCCCGCCACCAGAGCGUGCGCCAUCGCCAGGGAAGGAGGCGCCGCGUCCGCGCCCACCGCCGCGCUGCCCCUGGUGACCGCGCCCACGGCCGCGACCACGAGAGGCGGAGUUGACAGAGGAUUGCCGAAGGUCGCCGCCAUGGAGCAGAGUUAGCCGGGCAUCAAAACAGAGCAGUUGGAUGUAUAGUUCUUGGACGGUGAUGGGUUCCACCCGGGCAGCAAGUGCAGAGACCACCGGGUUGUAUUCCAUGUCCAAGCCGGCAAGGAUUUUGGAGACAAUCUCCGGAUCAGAGAGGGUCGCAGCCGUGCUUGCGACCUCAUCAGUGAGACUUUUUAUUUUACCAAGAUAAUCAGCCAUGGAUAGGUUACCUUUCUUGAGGUUGGUGAGCUCGAUGCGAGUGUUUAUCGCUUGGGCUUGGCUUUGUGCAGCAAACAUGGCAUGGAUGGUGCGCCACACCUCAGCCGGCAUCUGGAGCGUGGCGACCUGGGCAAGGAUCUCACGGGAAAGUGAACCCAUUAGGUAUCCUUGGAGUUGCUGCUGCUGUGCAUACCAGAGGGAUCUUGCAAAGUUGACGACUUGUUCUUCUUUGCCUUCCGUGGUGAUGGUGAGGGUGGCGGGUGGUGGUGGGCUCGUCGCGUCGAGGUGGUGCUCCAUCUGGGCGCCUCUGAUCUGCGGGAGCACUAUGGCCUUCCAGAGCAAAAAAUUGCCCCGCGUCAGCUUCUCCUGUGGGGGCGAUCCGAGAGAGGUGGUGUUGUGGGUGGAGGAGGAAGAUGAUGCAAAAGUAGAGGAUGAGGUGGUGGUGAGUGCACCCAUGGUACUUGGGGUCAUGGCUGCGAUGGUGGUGGACAUACUCUCGGUCGCGAUGGUAGCUAGAUGCAAUCUCUCUCGAUUGGAUGAGGAAGAGGCUCUGUUACCAUGUAAAAGUGGUUUGGGAAGCGUAGAACCCUUUGUCUCGGGCCGCAUGUAUAUAUUAGGCAGAAGCCUUGGCACACAAGUUUACAGGGGGAGAGAUCGAUCAGAUGGGAUCUAUCAAGUCGUUACAGAAGGAUCGUGAAAGACAGAAGAAGAGAUAGAACAGAAUACAGAAUUUAAACCAACUCUAUCUCUAUACAACUUCUACUACACGUCUACUAUACGCAUAUUCCAACAGUUAACACCAUGUGGCGCCGCUUCAGCUCGCCGCCCGAGGGUCAAGGUCCGGCUACUUAAGCCGUACAACGUCCCCCAGCCCUAGCCACAUCCGCUUCCUCCCUUCCGUGUUGGCAGCCCGAGCCCAUCUGCUUCUUUCCCCUCUUCCCUUGCCAUCCGCCAUGGCCGGGCAGAAGAAGACCACCUACACUAUGCUAACGUCGGAGCAGCGCUUCCAGAUGCUUGAGGAGAUCUAGGCUAGGCGGACCGUUCGGAUCACAGCGGACCUGCCUCUAAAUUCGCUGGAGCAGCAAUCGGAGCCCAUGGAGUAGGAGGAGGAGGAGCCGGAGCCGGUUGCGGACUUUGCCAUGGAGGACACCCUGGCGGAGUUCGAGGUCGCCCAAGUGGUGGAGAUGGCGUAGCAGACCGCUACGCCAUCCAGGAUGAGGCAUAUGUCGAAGCCAACUGGUGGUUCAUCCGGCAAGAAUGGGCGGCGACCGUCUUCUGCCAAACUGGACACGGAGGAGGAGGCAAAGGCCGACACGGAGGUGCCGCAUGUGCCAGAGUUGCAGCUGCUGCCCAUGUACCCGGAGCCGAGCACGAAGAUCGUGGGCAUCUUUGACAAGGAGUAGGGCAGUGUAGGUUCUGGUUGAUUUACGUAGUAGUAUAUGGGUUUUUUCUCUUUUGCAUGCUUUAUAUGGAUUUAAGGUUUCAAGUAUGAGUAAUUCGGAUGCAUAGAACGAAACUUGAGGGUUGCCCGGUCAAUGCACGCAAACGCGCCUGGGCGCGUCCGCGGGCGUUUGAGGGCCUGAAUUUGGUGUCCACGGCUGUAGAUGCUCUAAGCGGCAUGCCGAUUAGUCAAAACCUAUGUAUAUGUGUGGACAAAAGUAAAUUGAUGCAUUCAAACAUACGGGACCCGGAAAUUUUCUCUCAGGAUACCUUGGUGCCAAUUAUAGCAUACCAAAUCCUUCUCCAUAUCCAUGUCAAUUAACUACCAAAUAAAUUUCUACCGAUCCUCUUAAAAAUAAGUUCAAGUCUGCCAUUAUAAUAGAAGUACGACUAAUGUAUUUUCUUGUGAUAUAUUAAUUUCAAUUUUCAAUUCUAUAGUUUUUGGUAUGUUAAUUUGUUUCUUUAGAACCUUCAUUUGCAUAUUUUCCAAAGCAAAAGGUACAAUAAAAAAUGUGUAGGGGAGCAGAAAAAAGAGGGAAAACAAACUGAAAACAAAAGUGAAAAUAGAUAAAUAAACAACAAAAUGUCAUAAUUCUACCUAAACAGACUAAUAUAGCACAAGAAAAUGCAUUCCAUGUAAUAUGAACCUCCCCAAGCCCAUACAUUUUGCCAAAUUUUCGUCUAAUUUGUUGUUUUAGACACUUCAUUUGCGUAUUUUCCAAAAAUAAAAGUGCAACAACAAGGUGUAGGAAAACAGGAAAAAAGAGAGGGGAAAACAAAAGUGAAAAUAGAUAAAUAAACAACAAAAUGUCAUAAUUCUACCUAAACACACUAAUAUAGCGCAAGAAAGUACAUUCCGUGUAAUAUGAACCUCCCUGAGAGCAUAUGUUUAUCCACGAUCAGUUUGAGCAUACUGAAGAUGAUGCUCUGGCAUUUGCGAAGGCCACUGGGUUAGUUACUAGAAUAGUAAAAAUAGAGACCAAAAGGGUUGAGCACACCAAGUAUAGUGAUCCAUGAUAUGCAUCAAAGCAUGUAACAACUAGUUAAGCAGGAUGCCGAUUAGUCAAAACCUAUGUGUAUAUGUGGAGAAAAAUUAAAUGGAUGCAUUCAAACAUAUGGGACCCGAAAAUGUUCUCUGGGGUACCUUGGUGCCAAUUAUAGCAUAUACCAAAUCCUUCUCCAUAUCCAUGUCAAUUAAGUACCCAAUAAAUUCGUAACGAUCCUCGUAAAACUGAAAAGGGGAAACAAUAAGUUCCAGUCCGCCAUUAGGCAUCUGAUGAGAACCUACGUGACGACAUAAGUUGAAAACUCGAAACGUUAAAUCUACUCCAAUUAUGGGAAGCAUUGAGUGUGCAUGGACGCGUCCAGGGAAGAGUGAGAGAGAGGAUUGAGAUGUGCUCGCCAAGAUUACUACGAAUUAAGUCCGUGAUCUCGACCACAUUAAACCCAGCCAGCCUGUGAUCUCAAUAUCUCAUGCGAUCUUCAAAUUUGGCAAGUGAACUUGCAUUCCUCUCAGAUCAUCUCCGGCCUUGUAUAAGUAGGCUCGCACAGAUCCCAUCCAAGAAGAACUCAACUCGUGUGCCAAGAAAAACCAAAUCCAAACCGCGUCCAUGGACGUGGUGCAAGUCGCCAAUGAGGAGGUGCAGCCGGCGCCGACCCUGGAGCUAAACCUCCUCGGCGCUGUCGGUGCUGAGGCGAACGCCGUGGCGGAGGCGGAGAAGGGAAAGGCCAAGUCGAGUGAGGCCACUGAGGCGGCCGGGCCUUCGUCGGUGGUGGCAGUCGCCGGCGGCGAGAAACGCCGCGUGUUCAAGUGCAACUACUGCCCGCGCAAGUUCUACACGUCGCAGGCGCUGGGCGGCCACCAGAACGCUCACAAGCGCGAGCGCUCCGUCGCCAAGGGCGUCGCUGCGGGGCGGGGCGCCGGCCCUGGCGGCCCACUCGUGCCGCACCACCUUCGCUUCCCCAACGCCUGGCCCUAUUCCGCCACCGGCAGGUCGUUCCUCGGCGUCGCGGCGCCGUUCUACGGGAUGCACAUGCACCCCAACCUCCCCGGGUGGGGCCCGGCGGCCCAGCCGUCCCUCGCCGGGCUCACCCGUCACGCCGGCACCGGCCGCCCGAUGUACCCGCGGGCGGAGGCCUACAGCUAUGGCGCGUCGCCCAGGGCCCUCAUCCCGGCGGCCUCCCCUCGCACGACGUCGAUGACCGCGAUCCAGUGGGGUGGUGGCAGUGGCAGUGGCAGUGGCAACGGCGGCGAUCAUAGUGAAGCGAAGCAAGAAGAGGAGGAGAUCGCCAACACGGUAGACUUGACUCUCAGGCUCUAACUAAGCUCCGUAGGGUCUGAUCAUUACUCCGUUAGAGCCUUAUAAGCUUCGGUCUUGUUGUUGACAAUAGUAGUCAAAUGCUAUCAGUCAUUUAAUUAGUUGUUGAUAGGAGAAGUUCAUUCAGUUCUUGGUCGCUUGGCUCUUAUGGAACGAGCCCAACAACAGAAGUUUUGAAGUUAAGUUCUCGUCGGGUGACCGCUUGUUAGACCUCAUCAAAUCGGCGGCGCAUGAUUGGUUUAUAAGGCUGGGGCUUUAUGUCUUGAAAAUCUGUUUGUUUAGGCCUCUAUCAUCUCGCUCUCAUGUUUGGUUUGUAUGGUGGUUUGAAUUUUGUUGUAUCUCUAAGACAUCUGCACUCUUUUCUUCUUCUAUAUAAUGAUCACAUGCAAUUCUCUCUUGCAGGGUUCAAAAAAAAAGGAAGUUAAUUAAUUAAGUUAUUUCUUGUAUUUGUUAGUGCAUGGUCAACUAGCUGCUCAGGGUUCUAGCAAGUAAAUAUUUACACUUCUGCUUCAGUACACCCGCUAAACACAUCAACAAAUGAGAUCUUUCGUUACUCCUUCAUCAUAAUAAAGGGUAGGAUGAUUUAUUUUUUAAAACUUCAUCGCGCGCGCCGAGCAUGAUACGCUGCCUGCAUACAUAUCACACCGGGCCGGCCCAUUUCCCACUUUUUUCCUCUUCUGUAAAACCUAAUAAAGAAAGUGCUGACAAGAUUCCAACCGAGCACCUAUACGCUUAACUAACCAAUAAAUACUACAUCCUUCGGGAGUAUACUAACAUGCGUACGACGGCCUAGUUGGGCCAAGGCCUAAGAGGUCACCUAUACUCAUAUAAGCUCAUGUAAAAAAAGGAGUCAUUUGAUGCUGAAAAAAUAUGCUCUCAAAUGGAUCCUUCUAACCUAUCCGGAUACUCUGCAUUGAACAUGGUCUAUUUUGGACAUGCCUGAAAUGAUCCUAUUUUUUUUCAGUAGGUGAGCAUGCCUAUGAUAGGCAUGCAUCCAUGUCAUAUUUUAACUAAUUCCGACACCGCAUGCAAGUUCGGUCAUGCCCCAUCAUUUAUCGGUCAUUUUUCAUCGAGAAAACUCCAAUAAAUGCAAGAAUUGUCAAAAACUCAAAAUACUUCGUAUGGUGCUUCAUUGAAAAAAAAAAUUGUCCAAUUGAAGGAUGUGGAGGCACAACAUGCUCUUAGAUGGAGGCUUCUGGCCAACCCGAACACCCUCCAUUUAACAUGGUCUAGUUUUUACAUUCUUAAAAUGAUCCUAACUUUUUCAAGCAGGUGGGCAUGCCCAUGGUAGUCAUGCCUGGUUUGAAAAAUUUCUGAUACCGUAUGCAAGUUGCAACACGUCCAUCCAUUUAUUGGCCCUUUUUGACCGAGAAAACUUCAGGAAAUGCAAAAUUUAUCAAAAACAAAAAUAACUUGGCAUGGUGCCUUGAAUUGGUCAGACAAGGCGAUGAAAAAAAUGAUGUCAGGAAACAACACGCUAUUAGACGGAACCUUCUGGACUAUCCGGACACCAUCCAUUGAACAUGAUCUUUGUUUGAACAUCCUUCAAAUGAUCCCAACUUUUGCAAGCUGGUCAACAUACCCAUGGCAGGCAUUCAUGUCAGAUUUAAAUGACUUUCGGUACAAUAUGCAAGUUGCGACACAUCUGGCAAUUUAUCUACCUUUUUUACCGAGAAAACUCUAGAAAAUUAAAAUUUUGUCAAAAAACCAAAAUAACUUGGAAUUGUGCCCUGGAUUGGUCAUACAAGGCAAUAAAAAAAUGAGGGUCAAUUCAAGGAUGUCGAGAAACAACACCCUCCUUUAAAUAUGGCCUAGUCUUGGACAUUCUUGAAAUGACCCCAACUUUUGCAAGCAGGUGGGCAUGCCCAUGGUAGGCAACCAUGCCAGGUUUGAACGAUUUUUGACACUGUAUGAAAGUUGCGACACGUUCGGCUAUUCAACGGCUUUUUUAGUGAGAAAACUUCAGAAAAUGCAGAAUUUGUCGAAAACCAAAAUAACUUAACAUGUUGCUUUGAAUUGGUCAUAAUAGACCAUGGAAAAAAUUAGGCCCAUUUCAAAGAUGUCAAAAAACAACGUGCUCUCAGACGGGCCCUUCUGUCCUUACCCAAAUACCUUCCAUUGAACAUGGUGUUUUUGUGGACACCCAUGAAAUGAGCCCAACUUAUACAAGCAUGUGGGCAUGACCACAUUAAAAAUCCAUGCGGGUUUGAAGGAUUUUCGACACCAUAUUUGAGUUGCGACACAUCUACCUAUCUCCCGUUUUACCGAGAAAACUACAGAAGAUGCAAAAUUGUAGAAAACCAAGAUAACUUAGCAUGAUGCCUUGAAUUGCUCCUACAAGUAAAUAAAAAAUUGGGGUCAUAUGAUGGACUUUGAGCCUUCUGGCCUACCCGGACACCCUACAUUUAACAUGGUGUUUUUUUGAACAAUCUUGAAAUGAUUCCAACUUUUGCUAGCCGGUGGGCAUGUCCAUGGUAGUCGUCCAUGCCAGGUUUGAAGGAAAAAAAGUAUUUGAAAUCAUAGUUUGAUCAGAUACUUAAAACUCUUAUUUUGAUUUUUAACAUAACUAAUAAAUACAAAGGGAUAAAUUUGAAAAUAGUAAAUACUUUCUUUUAAAAUAAAUUCAUAAACAUUUUACAGAAGAAAUAAUUUAAAAUUAUUAUUUAAAAUAGUUAAUUAUAACUUAUAUUUUGGUAUUCAAAAAGGUGAAAAUGAAUUAACACAUUAGAGAGAGAAAAAUAGAAAAGUAGAAAAUAAAAUAAAACGCUUAUGCCUUAACCCAACUAGGAGACGACAUCCCUCCUGUCGGGCACACGUUGGGCCAGCCCAAGGGCUCCCGGAUUUGAAAAAGUUCAUCAGUUGUUUUUAAUAUAUACAUGGAUUUGAAUUUUUUUUGCAAAUUUUCAAAAAGACAUUACUAAAAUAGUUGCAAAGAAACGUUCCCGGUUUUGGGAACCUCAGCUUUCUUGCCGCUUUUUCCAGUUUUGAGAACCUACUAGGAUGUCGUGAACCGCAUUUUAUUCUCUUCUUUUUAUCAACUCUCUAGUUUACUUUUUUCUCUUUCUUUUUUCCUUUUUGUUAUAUUUGACUUUUCAUUUUUUUUUUCUGUUUAUAUUUCUCAUAAAUUAGAAAAUUUCAAAUUUCAAAAUUUGUUCAGAAUAUCCAAAUAUUUCAUGUUCUUCAAAUUUUGCUCAAUUAUUUAUUUAUUUAUUUGCAUUGUUUCAGAAAAAAAGAAUGUUUAAAGUGUCCUAUUUUUCAUAUUCAUUAAUAAAUGUUAAAAAUCCGGAAAAUGUUCAGAAUUUUCAAAUCUUGUUUUGGUUUCAAUUUUUGUUCAUAUUUUCUAAUCAAUGUACAAAAAUAAAAAAUGUUCACAUUUCAAAAACAAAUCAUAAAUUUGGUAAAAUGUUCACGUUGUCAGAUUUUGUUCUGAUUUUUGGAAGGUAUUCCCAUUUAAAAAAAAUUGUUCACGGAUUUAAAACUGUUUGCUUUUCCAAAUUUUGGUCAUAUUUUUAAAAUGUGCCAGCGUUCUGGAUACGGGGGUACCCAGACUUGCCUGCCUGCGGCCCACGACGUGGCUCCAUUGACGCCCUGGUACGGCCCAGCUUUAGCAUCAACAACUCAAGACCCUCGCGAGGGGUCAAGCCUCGCGAGGCGGACGACGCCAAGACCUUCAAGGGGAUCGGCCUCCCCAGGCUGGCUCCCGAGGAGCGGAGAUUUCUAUGCAAGGUGCACCUCGCGAGGUUCGGUUGACGUGAGCCAUGACGACCAAGGACAGGCGGGCGCCAGUGGGCGCAGAGUACCAGUUUCCUCUUCGGUGCAAGGGAGGCAAGCAACAGGAAUGGAGUCCCGAGAAAUCAACCAAAGAUUUCCAUUCUAAUGCAACAAGACCAAGACCGCCAACACGGCAGGACAGAGGUCACCACCGAGCCCACCGCAGCGUCACAACCAGAGGCUUUUGUAGGCGAAGACCGCUUUAGUCAGGAUAAGAUGUACCUGUUGUCUCCCUUCAAAUUUGGCUGUCGUGGGAUCCCUUCCCACCUACAUAUGGGAAGAGGACGAAGGCCACUAUAAAUAGGACCUAGCCACCACCAUGGGAUGGGAUCGAAUCUAUUCCACCCUCUCCACCUCACCAGCUCACUUGAGCUUAAGAACACGCCUCCUAAGGCUGUUCUCCACUGUACUAGUUCUUCCUAAGCCCCUCGAGGCAAUCCACCACAAAACAGGAGUAGGGUUUUACACCGCAAGAUGGCCCGAACCUGGGUACAUUGUCGUGUCUUUCUUUCCCUUCGAGCUCGACGCGAUAGGCUGUGAGGUUUGCGAAUUGUCAGGCUGGGUAGGUUGAGAUCACUGCAUGCACCCCAGAGUUCGAACCUCUCAAGGGUUUGUGGAACCCGAAAUCCGACAAAAUGUGCCCGUUUUAAAAUUUUCUUCACAAAUUAAAACACGUCCCCUUUUUCAAAAUUUGUCGACAGAUUGAAAUAAUGUUCAGGGAGUUUCAAAUAAUCUUCAUGCAUUCAAAGUUAUUCAUAAUAUAAAAAUAUUCAUGUUUAAAAAGAACUGCACAAAUACAAAAAGAUGUCCAGGGAAAUUUUAAAAAAAUUGGUUUCAUUUUCUGUUCGUUUUUUCUGUUUUCUGGAAUUCAAAUUUAGUUACUGUUUUCUUUAAAUGUGUUCAAAAUUUUGUUGACUCUUUUUGAAAAAUGUGUGUAUUUUGACAUUAUGAGUAAUUUUGAAAGAUAUGAACUUUUGGUGAAAUUUCUUUAUCAUUUUUAGAAAUACUAAUAUUUUUAUUUUGUGAAAAGAAAAGGAAAAAUGAAACCCGAGUGGAAGUCAUGCAUAAAAAAACAAAGAAGAACCAAAGAGUGAAGGAGUUGUGUUUUUUCUUAGAUUUAUCUAUCUCGGUCAACAAGAAAAGAACAAGGUUAUUAGGCAUGCCAGAUAAGCUAUCCCAGAUGGUUUGUGCGCUUACAUACAGUUCGUGAGCUCUAGUUCGAAUCGCGUGUUGGACAUCUAUAUUUUGAAGUUUAAAAGCAAAAAAAACUGUGUUAGCCCAGGAGGAGGGGUGUGCACUACGAAUCGUAUGGCGUAUGCAUUCUACAUAUGACAGUGGUACGAUUUGCAGAAGGUCCAUACUACCCUUUAUAUGUUUUGUGAGGGGAGGGGGGAGGGGGGGUGUACCAAAGUGGGAAUCAAAUAUUUAUCUCUUGUUUCAUGCACUAUAGAUACUAGAUGAUACCCCGCGCGUUGCUGCGGGAAUUUUGUAUCAAAUGAUGUUCAAAAAGUAAGCGUACAUAAAACUAUGGAGUUCAAUGAUAUGAUGGUAUUGGAUGUUUUAGAUACCAAAUAAACGGCCGAUGUCCAACUCAUACUUGCAUAAUCAUAUAAAUAUCAUGUUUCUCUAGGUUUAGAAAGAAUAUACACAUUGUGGAAUAGAUCAAUUGUGUUCCCAUAACAAUGUCCAACACGAAGUAAAUCAAGGCAAGACAAUGAAAAAUUGCAGGUACAGAUGCCGACUUGAGGAAAGAAACGCCUCUAAGGUGAUACGGUGCAGCUGAUAUAUAUGUGGCAUACUUCCUUGUUAUAGCUAGCGUUUGUUAUACUGAACCAUAUAGUAUAUUAGCUAGUUCCAUAUAAAUGUUAUUUGAAAACCCUGAAGUGUAUCAUAAAUUAUUUUUACUCCCACUAAUUUUAAUUCAUGUGUCGUGGUAUAUUCAUCUGAGUGUGUGUAUGCAGAGGAUGAGAUGGCCAAAGUUAUUAUGCAUCUGAGCAUGUGCUGACAUCUGUCAUCAUAUCCGUCUUGCUUGAUUUCUGUUCAAGUGUGGAACCAUGGCAUUUGCAUAGUAAUAAUAAAUCAGUUGCUACGUAUAAUUGUAGCUUGAUGGAAAAUCAAGACAUAUUUGCAUAUUUGUUUUGCGCAUAUUAGGCAGCUCAAAUGUUGCAUGAGUCGCCCCUCAUGUAUGUCUAAGAAAAGGUGCAUAAAAGCAUGGUAAGAUGUAGCCAAGUCCAUAUCGGUGUAUAUGCUAACGUUGCCUAGUCGGAAGAAAGGAACCAAAAUAUAUAUGAGAUACUGUAUUCCAAUGUAGGAUGAUGACGUGAAUAAUAGAGGAACAAACCCCCUUGUACAUGAACACCGCAAUACCAUAACUUGGAAGAAGAAUUUAAGGCUACACAGAGCAUGGAUCCUAAAGCAAAUUGGCUAUGGUCGAUCAAAAUCUCAAGUAAAAUUGCUAUAUGCUUUAUCAGAGUAAGUUCUACACUACCGGCCAUACUCUCCUUUUAGCUUAUGUUUAGUAAAUUGUAAGCAUGCACAUCAUAUUGAAUCAAACUCUGAUGGUCUGAUGUGUAAACAAAUUUAGUCAUUUUUUGCCAUGACAAUAUCAUGUACUCCCUCCGUAAACUAAUAUAAGAGCGUUUAGAUAACUAUUUAGUUAUCUAAACGCUCUUAUAUUAGUUUACGGAGGGAGUAUAAAUCAUUGAAUGAGUAACAUACUGGAUUGCUGGUCGUAUUAUUUCUAGAAAGUUCUUACAACCACUGCUAUUUUCUGUCUACAUCCUUUGAAAUAACAAUGAAGGGACGGGGGAAAGUCCAAAAUAUCAUGGUGAAACGUCUGAACACCGUCAGAAAAACCAAUAACAGGAUCUCUCACCUUAGGAAAUCCCAAAUGCUCGUGAUUACACAUCAGUCAAGAAAAUCCAGAUCAAGUCUUGCUAUGAUGGAAUAGAAUAACAAAACAUGAGUGGGCAUAUAUAGGAACAAAAGAAAGAAAUUCAUUAGGAAAUAGACAAUAUUUUCUAUAUUCUGGUGGUGGAAGAGAGAAUGAGCUCACGGGCUAUUGAUCUUGUCGUGGCCGUGCCGAAAAGCUAGUGAUUGCUGACUCCAUCGUCAGGUCUAGAUGUACCUCACUUAGCAAUGCGGGCUCACAUCAAUUCUCUCCUUGGCAUCCUCACAGCCUUGCUAUCCUUGUGAAGGCGUCUACCUGGAUUCAUAGAAGGCCAGCAAAUGGUUUGGCAAUGGGACUAUGGGAGCCCUACACACAUGACGGGAGCGCCACCACGGGCCCCACUCGGCCGACCCGCCGCCACUUGCUCUGGGGUGGGGAAGGUGACCGGAGGACGCGCCGGCACCGAGCAGGGUUCGCCGCGGCCUUCCCAGACUUAUGCCGAGACACCCGGCGCGCGACCGCAAGUUAAUCGCGGAGAGUAGCCGGUUCCGAUCUCGGCGUGGCGGCAUCCUCCGCGAGGUGCUCUACUUCCCAGUCGGGAGCGCCUACGCUGGGGAAGCUGGAGGCAGGGCGGGGACGGCCACCGGGGGAACUCGUCGCCAGGGAGGGGGCGCCUCUCGCCAUUGCUUACCCUGCCAAAAAAAUAAAUUGCAUGUGCACGCCCAAGCAGUCCAGAGAGAAAUGCAAGACGGGAAGAGCAACUGAAUCGCCGGUGUAGGAAAUCGAUCCGUUUCUGUUGGUAGUGGAAUUUGAUGCAGUUUGGAGAAGAUGAAGAGGAAAGGGUGCUAAGACAUGACGCGCUGCGUUGAGGAAAAACGAUGCGAUGGGGAAUCAUGUGCACAGGUCACAGACGAAAUUCUCCUGAGAAAAAUAAAUAAAUAUUGAUGCUUAUGUGGCGGUGGGUCCUUAGCAAGUAAUAACCGAAGCUUGUGUGGUAAGGGCGUUCUAGUGGUUGGACCCAUAUGUAAGUCAAUAAAAGAAUGAUGACAUGGCUGAUGUGCUUAGGUGGAUAGGCUGCAUGUCAAGAGAAUUAGUUUAGUGGGGAUGAACUAUUUAGGUAUUAUAGAUUAUAGAUUUGCAAGCAGACUCCCCUAGCAGUAGAAGCCACCGGUGCCUCCACCGUUACACCGACUCCGCAUCCCCAUCAUAGGUGUUAGCCACGAAGACCUCCUGAGACGGGUUGUAGCUUCCCGGGCUCUUGGUGUCGAGCCAAAUUUAAGAACCGAGGGUGCAUUUGCCAUGAUAUGCACAAUUAUCUAGAUACACAUACUUUCCUUCUAAAUCCACAUCUGCCAUGAUGUAUAGAGGGUAUUUUCCAUGAUUUCAAAAGACCUUGGCAAAUUCGCUUUACAGAACACGGCAAAUUCACUUUAUGGAUCAUGGCACAUUUUUUUGACAAUGAAAAUUUCUUUCCUCAUCGUCCAUAGCAAAUUCAUCUUAUUGUCCAUGGAAAAUUUACAUUUUUCAAUAAAUUGACAUGUUUCAAAGAACAAAAAUUCCAACACUUGAUUCCUUCUGUGUCCAUGGAAAAUCCAUAAAAAAUCCCAUAUUUUUCAAAAAAAAUCUAACUUAAUGGCCCAUGGAAAAUGUAGUUUACGUCUAUGGGAAAUUCACCUUUUCCGACCAUGCAAAAUUUAUUGUUUGGAACAUGCCAUUUAAAAAAAGAUUAGACCAUCAUAAUUUUGGUUUUCACCAUAAAGUUUUACUAUUUGACCAUGGCAAAGAUUUUCUUUUACAGGCCAUGGACAAAUUUAUUGGUUUCACCCUUGCAGAUUCAUUUUGCUGGUUAGACACUGAUAAAAUUAAUUUUUUAAACCUUGACAGAGUUUAAAAUGAAGGAAAUAUGCCCUAGAGGCAAUAAUAAAGUUAUUAUUUAUUUCCUUAUUUCAUGAUAAAUGUUUAUCAUUCAUGCUAGAAUUGUAUUAACCGGAAACAUGAUACAUGUGUGAAUGCAUAAACAAACAACAUGUCACUAGUAUGCCUCUACUAGACUAGCUUGUUAAUCAAAGAUGGUUAUGUUUCCUGACCAUGAACAAAGAGUUGUUAUUUGAUUAACGAGGUCACAUCAUUAGUAGAAUGAUCUGAUUGACAUGACCCAUUCCAUUAGCUUAGCACACGAUCGUUUAGUAUGUUGCUACUGCUUUUAUCCAUGACUUAUACAUGUUCCUGUAACUAUGAGAUUAUGCAACUCCCGUUUACCGGAGGAACACUUUGGGUGCUACCAAACGUCACAACGUAACUGGGUGAUUAUAAAGGAGUACUACAGGUGUCUCCAAAGGCAGAUGUUGGGUUGGCGUAUUUCGAGAUUAGGUUUUGUCACUCCGAUUGUCGGAGAGGUAUCUCUGGGCCCUCUCGGUAAUGCACAUCACUAAAGCCUUGCAAGCAUUACAACUAAUGAGUUAGUUGUGAGAUGAUGUAUUACGGAACGAGUAAAGAGACUUGCCGGUAACGAGAUUGAACUAGGUAUUGGAUACCGACGAUCGAAUCUCGGGCAAGUAACAUACCGAUGACAAAGGGAACAACGUAUGUUGUUAUGCGGUCUGACCGAUAAAGAUCUUCGUAGAAUAUGUAGGAACCAAUAUGGGCAUCCAGGUCCCGCUGUUGGUUAUUGACCGGAGACGUGUCUCGGUCAUGUCUACAUUGUUCUCGAACCGUAGGGUCCGCACGCUUAAGGUUUCGAUGACAGUUAUUAUGAGUUUAUGUAUUUUGAUGUACCGAAGAAGUUCGGAGUCCCGGAUGUGAUCACGGACAUGACGAGGAGUCUCGAAAUGGUUGAGACAUAAAGAUUGAUAUAUUGGACGGCUAUAUUCGGACACCGGAAAGGUUCCGGAAGUUUCCGGAGAAAACCGGAGUGCCGGAGGGGUUACCGGAACCCCCCGGGGGAAGUUAUGGGCCUUAGUGGGCCAAGAGGGGAGAGAGAGGGGCCGCACCAGGAGGUGGCGCCCCCCCAGGGGAGUCCGAAUAGGACAAGGAGGGGGGGGCGCGGCCCCCCUUUCCCUCUCCCUCUCCCUCUCUUUCCUUCCCCCUUCUCCCUUCCUAGUUGGACUAGGAGAGGGGAGUCCUACUCUAACUAGGAGGAGGACUCCCCCCUCCCUUGGCGCGCCACUAGGGCCGGCCGGCCUCCCCCUUGCUCCUUUAUAUACGGGGGCAGGGGGGCACCCUAGGACACACAAGUUUGAUCUACGGAUCGUUCCUUAGCCGUGUGCGGUGCCCCCUUCCACCAUAUUCCACCUCGGUCAUAUCGUCGCGAAGCUUAGGCGAAGCUCUGCGCCGGUAGAACAUCAAGAUCGUCACCACGCCGUCGUGCUGACGGAACUCUCCCUCGACACUCGGCUGGAUCGGAGUACGAGGGACGUCAUCGAGCUGUACGUGUGUCAAGAACUCGGGGGUGCCGGAGUAACGGCGCCGGGAUCGGUCGGAUCGCGAGGAGAACGUACGACUACUUCCUCUACGUUGUGAUCGCUUCCGCUUCGGGUCUACGAGGGUACGUAGACAACACUCUCCCCUCUCGUUGCUAUGCAUCACCAUGAUCUUGCGUGUGCGUAGGAAAAUUUUGAAAUUACUACGUUCCCCAACAGUGGCAUCCGAGCCUAGGUUUUUAUGGUUUGAUGUUUUGCACGAGUAGAACACAAGUGAGUUGUGGGCGAUACAAGUCAUACUACCUACUAGCAUGUCAUACUUUGGUUCAGCGGUAUUGUGAGAUGAAGCGGCCCAGACCGACAUUACGCGUACGCUUACGCGAGACUGGUUUCACCGCUACGAGCACUCGUUGCUUAAAGGUGACUGGUGGGUGCCUGUCUCUCUCACUUUAGUUGAACCGAGUGUGGCUACGCCCGGUCCUUGAGAAGGUUAAAACGGAGUCUAUUUGACGAAGUAUCGUUGUGGUUUUGAUGCGUAGGUGAGACUGGUUCUUGCUUAAGCCCGUAGCAGCCACGUAAAAUUUGCAACAACAAAGUAGAGGACGUCUAACUUGUUUUUGCAGGGCAUGUUGUGAUGUGAUAUGGUCAAGACGUGAUGCUAUAUUUU
rnacentral:lncRNA from 1 species